GAAACGGUUGAUCUUCAAUUAAUCGAUUGUACAAAUAAAUUGCACGAGCAAGAACACAACAGCAAUUUUUAUCUACAGUUUGUACGCAAUUGCUAUCUACAGGUUUCAUCAACAUAUAGAUCUUGUAAAUAAAAGAGCUGAUCCAUUGACCCCGCGCAGGACUAGCAGUCUGGAGUCCGGAGUCCACAUAUGUCCCACAGACGAGCCUAGAACAAGUGACCAUAAAUUAGAAGACGCCUUUGAAAGUAAGGGUGAUGAUACAAGUUAUAAUAUCUUUGAGGCAACUAGACAUAGACCCAUAUGACUCCUUGGAAAGAGCAAACGAAUUAAUGAAUCUACAAAAGCUACGAACAAAGCAGAUAAUUGCUAACCUUUGGCCUUGAAUGAGCAUUCGGCAUCUCUAUCAAUUUGAACACACACACACACACACACAGAGAUAAUGAGUUUAUAUGCAAACAUUUAGUAGUACGAAUAGAAAUAGAAGCACAAAUUAAUUAGUAACACUAAUUGUUCCAUCUCAUACUUGUGCUCCGUAGAAAAACAGGGUACUUUCUAGGUUCACAAAGCCUCUGAUAAAUGAUCAAGAUGCAUGGUUGCGCUACUCUAUGCUCAGAACAUGAAACUGUCAAAAUUUCCAGCUAAUCACUCUAAGGCACUGGCUUGAAAGAGUCACAACCGAUGAAUCCAUCUGAAUGACAAUAGAGAACUAAGAGAUGCUAACUGUAGACACACCUGGGGCUGCUUAUAAAUGUAUUCCUCUGUAAUUCGAACUGCAGUUGAGUUAAGAACCCAUCUGAUGAUAUCCAUGGAUGGCGCCACCCGCCAUCUUGGUCCACACAGAAAUGGAUGCCUGAGGGCAUCCAAACAACUGCAAAGCAUAUCAAAAUAGUCAUAAUAUGGUUUAAAAGGUUUGGUUGCAUCUCUCUCAAAUUAAUUCAGAUUCCAUUCAAUAUGGUUAACCUCGUGUUGUCUUUACUAUUGUCUAAUAAGAGAUGAACUGAUGAAUACCUUAUUCUUUUUGAAGGUUUGGUUGCCAAUAACAAGGAUAAAAGGUUCCAACCAGCACCCCAGUUCCGAUCAAGUAUCUACAAAACGAACUUAAACAUCCUAAUAAUUCAUGUGGCUUUUACUUAUAAAAAACAAUCUUUAUAGUUAUUGUGAAAGGUGUAGCUUAAAGUAUGGUAAUUUGCAUUCGUACUACUUGGAGUCCAACAUUUCCAGAAGGAGAAUUCCUAACUCACGCAAGCAUGAAGGUACAACUUCGUAAUUAGGAUCAGUACCAACACAUGAUGAGUAGUGCAUGAUGAUACUAUAGAUUUUUUUUCAUAUUGAGCAAAUAAAGCGACUGCCAAUGCAUUCCAGUCUUCAAGAAACUGGUAGAAUUAAUGAGAAACUUGAGCUUAUCCAGAGACAUAAUGCAAGUCAACAAAAAUUCCACCAGGUUCUGGAUUGAUUAAUCCAAAAAAAAAAGGGGUGGGGGGGGGGGGGGACUAGCAUGUUGUACCUUCAUGAGGAAUGAUUUGAACUUCAUGAAAAUUAAUGGAUCCAUGAGUUCCCGCAGCACCAUUUUUGCCAUCAUAGAUCCUACACAUCUUUCAACAUGGAUGAAACAGAAUUCAGUACAUCAGUAGCUCUGCUAGCAGCGCUAACAGGAUACACUAUUUGGUCUAUUGAUCUAUUCAUACCUCAUGUCAAAUGCAAUCAUGUGUGGGAGGUGCACUAAUUCAAUGGUGCUGAUUUAUUCAUGUCUUGUUUCGUUCCUCAAUAUUUGUGCUAAUAAACCUUUCCUCAACCAUAAGUCUAGAACCACAAAAAUUUCCCAUUAUUCAAUGCUGUUGAAGAGAUACCAAACUUUCAAAGCAGAAUACCAGAAAUAAAAUUUGACUUCAAUAGAUAAACUGAAAUUGUUGUGCAUCAAGUGUUGUCAUAUCAGAAAGCACAAAUCAACAAGAGUUUUCCUCAAACGCCCUUCUCCUUAAAGAAUUUCUUUCCUUAUUCUAUAUAUAUCAAAUUUAAUUCUAAAUUCAGAGAAUCUAAAAUUAAAAAAAACAGCAUAAGAGGGGGGAAAGCUUGCAUUUACUUUAAUAUGCCUAUCCACUGGGCUUAUAUGCACAUUCUCCAGCCUCAACUCUGUAUCCGAAAGUCCAUGACUGUGCAAGUAGUUCACCUUAAGUAAGCAAAACAAACACCUUAAACUGUAGUUGUGCACAGCAAAUGGCAACUAUUUGUGCACAGAUAAUACAAUUAAGAUAUACAUACUUGAUACUCCAAUCAAGAGAUCCCUCAUCAAUAUGCGUGUUAUUCGCAGCUGCCAAUAGACAGCAGGUCCUCCAACGGUGUCAUCUCCCACCCUCCUGACAGAUUCCUCAUCCAAUGCAAGAUUGGCUUUCAAGGUAGGAAGCCAAUCUGAUUGUUGAAGCCAAUGUCUCAAAGAAAAACUACCAUGAUACUGCCAUAAAAUAAAAAGGAAGAGAUAAAUUUCACAUCCCUAAACUCACAAAUGGAAAAAUUGAAAUAUGGGAAGAACUGCUUCCACACGCAACAUGCACGGAAAUGAAGGCUUGUCCAAUAAACGGAAAAUCUCCAACAGGGGUCUCCUAGAAAGACUAACCUACCUAGCAUAAACAUCUAAAUGGCUUCAUACAACGAACAUUUAAUGCACACGCAAUAUAAAGAUCUUACACAGAAACAGAACAUACCCCAUGUACCAGAGUAAACGAACCACGGCCACUAGAAGGUGAAGUAUAACCAUAACUUGCAUCGAAUAAGAAUGGUACAUAAGUUUACGGCGAAACCAGCUUCUUCAACACCUAAAAACACUUUAACAACACGAAAGUUACACCAAUAUUCAAAACCUCAAAUACCAAAUAAAGAAAACUCCAAAACAAAGCCCCAAACCUCUACUGCUCGCAUUCCUCUACGUUUUGCUUGAGUACUGAUAAGUUUCCCAAACACAACUUUAAUGUUAUACAAAGGGCUGCAAUUCCACAUUAUACUCAUCACCUCCAAUAAUCACACAAUAUCAAAAAAUCAAAUAAGAAAAGAAAGCUAACCUAUUAGAAUCCUUCACUAUUGCUUCAAAAACCACCUCAUCCGCCUGAAAAAAACCCAAUUCAGUUAUCCAUGCCAUAAUUAGCAGUGCUAAGAACAAUCACUUUUGGACAUUAAACACUAUCCUUCCAUCUCUUUCCGAUUCCAACGGAGCCACGGCCUUACUCGGCGACGAACACCCCAGCACCGUCCCUACUUCUCUCCUAGAACAACUGCUUCUCACACCGAUGAUACUACCAUUACUACGUCGUUAAAUCAGUUUCAUCGUCGACAAAUUAUCAGAAAGAGAACAGAAUCCGACUCCAUAUAUUGCCGCCGCCGUCAAUCGAUCAAUCCGUUACAACUCUAAGAAUAUUUUUUGAUUCAGAGAGGAGUUAGUUAGCAGAAGGAAGGAGAGGAAAGGGUGAAGAAACAGAGAAGAGAGUGAGAGAUGCGUGCAGGAAUCCGUAGCCCUGGGCUUGGCUCGUGUCAACUUCUGUUUUUCCGAAUAUCUCCUACAUUUCACCUCCUGUUAUUUUUUGUGUUUUGCGUACGGUGCACACUCCUAGGUCCGCCACGUCACUUUUCGUUGUUUCCCACGUUUUUGUUUUGGAGCCAAAAAAAUAAUUCUAUUAUUAUAGACUGUUAUGCUCAAGGUUGUUAAACCGGGAAUGUCUAAUGAAUUCAGUUGAAAAAUUCGUAAUUUAUAGCUCGACUCUUUUUUAAUUUUACUCGAGAUUGAAUUGACUUUUUAGUUAUGUUAACUCUAUUAAAUAUAUAUAUAUAUAUAUAUAUAUAUAAAUAAAUGAAAAAAUUAUUCUCAUUAUCCAUAUUUUUUCAAUUUGACUCCAGUUUUUAUUUAUAAUUAUAAUUCUAGGUAAAUAUAAUUUUUAAAUUUAAAUGAAAAUAUAAAUUUUUCCUCAUGUAUAAUAUAAUACAAACACUACAAAUCUCUCUUCAAACAUAAUUUCUCUCUCCUAAGAAAACCCUAAAUUGAUUUCUCUUUUCCAAUUGAAGAACAGAUCUGGUGGAAAUUUUAUGGGCAAGGGGAAGUCAACAACCCAAAAGCUUUGAGCUAGUUAUUUGGACUUUCUUACCUCUUUGAUCUUUUAUCCAGCCAUGUGUACGGUUAAGAACUGGUUCAGGGGUGUGGUGGUGCUGGUUAAUUACCCUUUGGAUUGAAAUAAACUACGGCGAUAAUUAGAAAAAAGUUAUGUUUUGAUCGCCCUAAUCGAAAUGACUUUUUGAUAAUUUUUUUUUUUUUUUUUGAUAAGAGUGGUAGUUACUCCCUUCGAAGAGUUGUUGGGGUUCUGACAUAACAGAUAUAUCAAAAACUGUAGAAAGGCCCAUCAUAUGUCCUCCUGGUGGGGUGUUUUAGUUUGUAUUUUUUUUAUUUUUAAUGGUAAUCAGAGAUAUUAACUAAUACUUUAAAAGGUACAUACUUUUUUUCAUUUUUUUUUGUUUUUUUGUUUGUUGAUUUUUUUUGUUUUGUCUUUCUUUUUUUUUUCCCACAUUUUUUCCCUUUUUUCCUUUUUUUUGGGCUUUACAUGUUUUUUUUUUCUUUUUUUCCAAGAUUGUCUUUUUUUUUGUUUUUUAUUCUUUUUUGUUUUUUUAAAUUAUCUUUGUCGAUUUUUUUAAUAUUAAACUAGUUGAAAAUUUAAUUCUGUUGUUUUUUUUCUUUAAAACAUUAUGGAUUACUACAAUGUUUCCCUACAUGAUUUUGUUUUAUGAAUUUUUUUUUUCAAAAUAGUCUUUGUCGAUUUUGCGUCGUAGUUUUUUUCUUUAAAAUAUUGUGGAUUGUUACAAUGUUUCCCCAUAUGGUUUUUGUUUUGCUACAAUGUUUCUCCACAUGUUUUUUUUUAAAUUAUCUUUGUCAAAAAAAUUUUAAUAUUAAGUUGGUUGACAAUUACAAUUGUCGAUUUCCUCACAUGUUUUUUUUUCAAUUUUUUCUUUUUAUUUUCCAAAAUUAUCUUCUUCUUUUUUUCAUAUUUUUGUGUUUUUUUUUAAAUUGUUUUUGUUGAUUUUAUUUUUUUAAUAUGGAGCUGGUUGAAAAUUUAACUUUGUAGUUUUUUCUCUUUAAAACACUAUGGAUUGCUACAGUGUUUCCCCACAUGGUUUUUUUUUUCUUUUUUUUAUGAUUUUUGUUUGUUUUUUUUUUCUAGAAUUGUCUUUGUCAAUUUUAUUUUUUUUAUAUUAAGCUGGUUGAGAAUUUAGUUUCGUAGUUUUUUUCUUUAAAACACCGUGGAUUGCUACAGUGUUCCCCCACAUGAUUUUUUUUUGUUAUGCUUUUUUUUAAAAUUAUCUUUAUCGAUUUUAUUAUUUUUAAUAUUGAGCUGGUUGAGAAUUAUAACUGUAGAUUUCCUCAUGAAACACUAUAGAUUGCUACAGUGUUUCCUGCAUGGUUUUUUUUCCUUUCAGUUUUUUUUGUUAUGAUUUUUUUCAAAAUUUUCUUUGUUCAUUUUAUUUUUUAAAUAUUAAUCUAGUUAAGAAUUUAACUUUAUAGUUUUUUCCUUAAAAACAUUGUAAAUUGCAAUAGUUUUUCUCCAUAUAUUUUUUUUAUUUUUUCCACAAACCCACAAAAACGCACAAGCAUGCCACAAGCCCGCGACAUCGCGCGGGUAUGACAUCUAGUUAAUAAACUAGUUUUUGAAGAAUAGUCAAUGGUUUUUUUAUCAGUUUUCAUCGGCAACGUCAAUUAACAAGAGUAGCUUAGAAAUAAGGUUUAUGUGUUGAAUAAUCAGUUAAUCUCUUGAUUCUAUCGAGUUGAUUAUUUCUCAGUAAAGGUGGCUAAUAACCAAUACCUAGUGCCUGGUAAGCCAAAGUGGUUGGUGAUUGAUACCUAUAAUAGGUCUUUUUUUGUAAAUUUACCGACUCUCUAAUGCUUAAGUAUUUGUUUUUAGAGAAAAUGUCAAUAUCUAUUAGAGAGAUAGAAUCUGAAAAUAUAUAUGCUAAAAAUUCUAUCAACUUGAAAAGAUUGAUUCUUUUCUUCUAAAAAAUCAAUAGGCCUUUAUAUAGUCCAUGAUUCUUAUUUUUUUUAUCGAGGAGAGGACCCCAAAGUCCUCCUUUUCUGAUAGUAUUAAAAUAUCUUUUAUGUAUUCAAGAGGAAAAAAAAUCUCUAACUCAUCACACAAAAAAGAUCUUUGACUUAUCACAGGAAAAAAGAUCUCUGACUCAUCAAAUCUUGUGGUUCAAUAUGGAGCAUGAUAAGAUUAUUAGAGCCACAUGUAUUUAGGUUCAAUGCUUGGUUGGUUCCAAUGAUGUUGAAUCUUGUGUUCGUCAGAUCCAUGUAUGUUUAGGCUCAACACUUAGUUGAACUCAAAGGUGUUGAGUCUGGUAGCUCUCUAGACCGAUUUAUACAUAUUUGGGCUCAGCGCUUGACUAAACCUAAGGAUGCUAAGUCAAGUAGCUAGCUAGACUCAUCUAUAUUUAGGCUCAAAAGGAUGUUGGGUCUGGUAGCUCGGUAGAUUAAUAUAUGUUUGGGCUCAGUACUUGACUGAACCUAAAAAUGCUAAAUCUGGUAGCUCACCACACCGACCUAUAUAUUUGGGUUCAGUGCUUGGUUAAACCCAAAAAUACUGGGUCAGGUAGCUCAUCAGACCCAUCUAUCUAUAUAUGAGCUCAAAAAGAUGCUGGGUCUGGUAGCUCGCCAGAUUUAUACAUGCUUGAACUCAAUGUUUGAUUAAAUUUAAAAAUACUAAAUUUAGUAAUUUACUAAACUCAUAUAUACUUAAACUCAGUAAUUAGCUAUACUUAAUGACAUUAGGAUAUCACCUUACCUUUAUUUCCUUAAUUUGAACAUGGUUUUUAGAUAAAUAACAUGCUGAUCUAUCACUGCAUCGAAUAACUUUGUAAAAUCAAAACAUUUUAUGUAACUUAAUUACAUAAACAACAACAUUUCACUUGCUUUUUUAUAUAAAAAGCAAAAAUUGGCUCGACCUGCUUAGCAUCUAUUAGUGCAAGAAAUGGCAAUCCAUCUAAAUUUUUAUCAUUAAACUAUGUACUAGUUAUGCGUAUGAAAGUUGUGUGUGUUAAAAGACCAAUAAUGAUACGGGUUGCGGUUUUUUUUUUUUUAAAAUAGUUGUGAUUUUAUAUAUAUAUAUACUGUAAGAUGAAUUUUUAUAUGUAAAGAAAUUUGAAACAAAAUUAUACAUGGGCAAUAGUAUAAAAAAAAACUAUUAACCUAAUCAAAUAAUCUUUUUCUUUAUAAUUAAAAAAAAAAAGAGCUAUCACAACAUAUCUUCAAUACUCAAGACACCACCGGGAGAAACCUCAUGAAGUAAAUUGCGUGAUUGAUUUUUGGUUAAAAUUCCAUGUUUUAUUAGUUUUUUUAUUUAUUUAAUGGUCACAUCAAUUCAGACUUCAGAGUCUUGACAACGUAGGGAUUGCCUCGCUUGUAGCUAGCAAUAGACAUGGAUUUGUUUUUCUUUUUUUCUUAUCAUUCUUCUUUAUAUCUUUUUUUUAUCGGAAUAUAUAUAACAUUCUGGACUUAAUGGAAAUAUUUUUUUUUUAAUUUAACAUGAGUAUCAGCUUGCGUGUACUUUGACUAAUCCUACAUACCCUAAAAUUAUCGACUAUAUAAAUCUAUAAUGAUCAUUAUAUAAACAAUUAUAAAAUUAAAAAUUAAAAAUACAAAAAAAACAAAUAUUUUAAUUUCAAAUUUUUAUCACAAAUAUCAUGUAGAUGGUUUUAAUGUCAACAUUCUUGACUGGCUACUAGCUAGCAUUUUUUUUUUCGUCCUUGCCAUCUACCGAGAUCGCACGAUUAAUAUUAUAUAUAUAUAUAACAGUAUACGCGCUAUCGCGCGAUAUCGCGUGGUGGAUAAAUCAUGCUAGCUUUUUACGUAGCAACCUUUACUUUAAUUGAAGUGGAGGUAGGUCCUGGUGGUUCCUUAUAAAUACGGAAAUGGAAAGCUCCCACAAACAAGAAGAAACUCAUUUCAUUUGCUUUGCUUUUGCUUUUGCUUGUCCUCGAAAAUGGAAAACUUCUGGAAGAUCCUCAGAAAGACUGAUGCUAAGAAGAGGCUGUCAGUUCCUAUCAGCUUUCUCAGGUCUCUUCCACCUUUCAAACUAGGCAGCCAUGCCGUCACGUUUGAAGCUACAGACGAGAAAGGCGAAGCUUGGGCCUUUCAAUGCUCCAUCCGCAAGAGAGGACAGUACCCGAAGCCAGUCCUCACAAGAGGUUGGGUUGCAUUCGUUAAGAGCAAGAAGCUACAAGUUGGUGACAAGGUCAGGUUUAUGAAACAUAAGAACCGAGCUACUGCAGCAAUCUCUUACAAAGUUCGUGUUGAAAAGGAAAUCAAGGUCUUUGGUGCUAUAUUUGGCUAUGCACGGAUCUAAUCCAUUUCCCUAAUUAAUAGCUCUGUAAGUCAAGCUAGCAAAUAAUAGUGAAUGAAUUGGAGCCAUGUUUCCCUCUUAGGGGACAUGUUAGAUUUCUAAGUUGGGUGAGUUUCAAGUUUCUUGAAUUCUCAUAUAUUUGUGCUGCUUCUGCAAUUAGUAUGUUUAACUUUGAAAAGCCAUCCCAUCUGCUAAGGUCUCUCAAGAUGUUUCCUUCUGCACCUUUCUUUCAAGAAUAUGGAAUUAGUACUGAUCUCUGAAUAACGCAAUAAGUAGCUCGCGAGGCCACUUCUCAUGCAAGGGUACGUAGUAGUAGUAAUGUGGUAUAUGUGGUUGCGCUCUUGCAUAUGAAAUGAGAAUUAUUUUGCAUAUUCGGCAUCUUGACGAAAGAAAGUAACGAUGUUGGCUUAAAUCCGUUGCGUGAUUGGCUCUAUAAGAGGUAUUAUUUCAUGUUUAAAAUUAUGAUAUCAAAGUGGGGGUUUGAUAAAAUCAUAGAGCAUUAAUUGGUGACGAGGAGGCUUGUUGGUUCGAUCAGGGAAUCCUCGUCACAAAACUAUAAAAAUGGCACUCGUGCGGUUCGUUUCUUUAUUGGCUUACAAUGGCGCUAUGGUCACGGUGAUGGUGAGAAUGGUGGCCGCCUACAAAACGAAGAACAAGACCAAAUCCACCCUGGGCCCUACCACAUGCAUAUUUUUAUGACAUUAAAGUUUUUACAAAAAUAGUCUUAUGAUUCUCGUUGCGAUAAUCUGAUACUUCGCAUCUGGGUGAUGAGAUGCUGUCAAUUUUUUCAUUAAAAUAAUGUUGCUUUUAUUUAUUUAUUAUUGAUCCGAUUAGUUCCAACAGGUCACUAAAAUUCCGGUCACAUUGAAAUGAUUUGUCCGUAAUAAUAUUCAAUAAAAAAAAAAACCCAGCCCUAAUCUAUGCCUUGAAUUUUCCGAAUUAAUCAACAAAGCCAGGUAGAGUUUAACAGCUAUAAUCAUUCAUGACAAAGAAAGCCAUUAUCACAAGUGAAAUAAAGACUACAUGACAUUUAGGUUAUAAUUGGAUUGACAUGAGCAAUAAAUCUUAAAGGUGUGUGUUCGACUGGUAAUAUAUAGCCAUAGCAUCAUUUUAGGUCGGAAUGGUUCGUGGCUGCAAAAUCGAUUGAGCAUGAACGUACCAAAGCAGAAUUCAGCUGUUCCCCUGCUGAUGGUUUUAUAGUCUGUUUGGUAUCAUCUUCACUACCUCUGGCUGUCUUCUUAUUAAGUUUUAGCCACAUUAAGGGUAGAAUCAUUUUUCAAAUAAAGCUUUAUAACAUUGCAACAUUUGACAAGCCACUCAGACAUCAGGCCGCACUGCAUUUGGAAAAGGUUGAUCUUCUUCGAUUAAUCGACUGUACAAAUUACACGAGCAAGAGCACAACAGCUAAUUACACUCCCAACAGCAAUUUCUAUCUACAGUACUUGCGCGCAAUGGCUAUAUACUGGUUUCAUCAACACAUAGAUCUUGUAAAUAAGAGAGCUGAUUCACUGACCCCGCGCAGGACUAGCAGUCUGGAGUCCACAUAUGUUCCGCAGGCGAGCCUAGACAAAUCAAACAUCUCAGGAGGAACUUGCACGCAAAGUUCUUGAACUAUACUGCUUGGUGUAACAUCAUUUUGAUUAAGGUUGUCCCCGAGACUCAUUGUCACCUCAAUGUCAGCUGAAACAAGUUUGGCCACUGGAAGGCUCGAUGGAAACUCCUUAUACGGGACAAGUUUCCUCCAUUUUUUAGCUGACAAUUUCUGGGCUAAAGAAUCUUGAUUGUUUGGUUGCCCAAAGGAUAACUUCUCCGAUGUCUUUUCCUCCUUAAGAUACAACCGUCUCCCAGAUGUCAACCGGAACAAAGAGUUUACUUCCAAUUUUCCAGUUAUACCACUUUUGUCAUGAGGCCAGUCUCGACCAUUCAUGACCAUGAAGCCAAUGUCCGAUGUGAAGGAAAUACUAGUAUUUAAUUUUGAUGCUCUAUUUAUAGCUAGAUAAACGUCACCAAUCAGGACAAGAGCAGAAGGCUGACGAAGGGUCAAUCCUAUUUGUCUCCCAGUACAGUAUAAUAGACGCAGUUUUCCUGGAAGCAACUCCAACCAGUUCUGCACAUUGAAGUAGAGCAGAAAUUUCAAUAUUGAGUAACCCUUGAGAAUAAUCAAUCAAUAAAACGUUUCAUGUUCUACCAGAAGGAAGAAUCCAAAGAAUAUUGGCUGAUGAAGAAGUACAACAGCUAAAGAACCAAAUAAGUUUCUUUUUCUUUAUAUUGUAUCAAUGCAUUUAGCAGUUAGACCAUUUCACAUAAAGUGUUCACGUAACAAAACGAGAGAGUAAAUGGCAAAGAACAAGUGACCAUAAAUUAGAAGAAGCCUUUGACAGUAAGGGUGAUGAUACAAGUUAUAAUAUCUUUGAGGCAACCAGACAUAGAUCCAUAUGACUCUUUGGAGAGAGCAAAAGAAUUAAUGAAUCUACAAAAGCUACGAACAAAGCAGAUAAUUGCUAACCUUUGGCCUUGAAUGAGCAUUCAGCAUCUCCAUCAAUUCGAUAAAACAGGAAAGCCUAUUACGCUAUCACAACAAAAUUCACCCGUCAGUUUACAUUGCCAAUGUAAUGUCACUGCGAGCUAUAAACCAACACCAGAUAUAUAAUGAGUUUACAUGCAAACAUUUAGUAGUUCACAUAGAAAUAGAAGCACAAUAAGAUAUCUUUCAAGUAACAGGAAAUUAAAGUACGGUAAUUUGCAUUCGUACUACUUACUUGGAGUCCAACAUUUCCAGAUGGAGAAUUCCUACUGAGGAUUUGCAAUAAAAACUCACGCAAGCAUGAAGGUACAACUUUGUAAAUAGGAUCUGUACCAACACAUGAUGAGUAGUGCAUGAUGAUACUAUAGGAUAUUUUUUCAUAUUGAACAAAUAAAGCGACUGCCAAUGCAUUCCAGUCUUCAAGAAACUGGUAGAAAUUAAUGAAGAGAAACUUGAGCUUAUUCAGAGACGUAAUGCAAGUCAACAAAAAUUCCACCAGGUUCUGGAUUGAUUAAUCCAAAAAAAAAAGGGGUAGGGGGGUGGGACUAGCAUGUUGUACCUUCAUGAGGAAUGAUUUGAACUUCAUGAAAAUUAAUGGAUCCAUGAGUUCCCGCAGCACCAUUUUUGCCAUCAUAGAUCCUACACAUCUUUUCAACAUGGAUGAAACAGAAUUCAGUACAUCAGUAGCUCUGCUAGCAGCGCUAACUGGAUACACUAUUAGGUCUGUCUAUCUAUUCAUACCUCAUGUCAAAUGCAAUCAUGUGUGGGAGGUGCACUAAUUCAAUGGUGCUGAUUUAUUCAUGUCUUGUUUCAUUCCUCAAUAUUUGUGCUAAUAAACCUUUCCUCAACCAUAAGUCUAGAACCACCAAAAUUUCCCAUUAUUCAAUGCUGUUGAAGAGGUACCAAACUUUCAAAGCAGAAUACCAGAAAUAAAAUUUGACUUCAAUAGAUAAACUGAAAUUGUUGUGCAUCAAGUGUUGUCAUAUCAGAAAGCAUAAAUCAACAAGAGUUUUCCUCAAACGCCCUUUUCCUUAAAGAAUUUCUUUCCUUAUUCUAUAUAUAUCAAAUUUAAUUCUAAAUUCAGAGAAUCUAAAAUUAAAAAAACAGCAUAAGAGGGGGGAAAGCUUGCAUUUACUUUAAUAUGCCUAUCCACAGGGCUUAUAUGCACAUUCUCCAGCCUCAACUCUAUAUCCGAAAGUCCAUGACUGUGCAAGUAGUUCACCUUAAGUAAGCAAAACAAACACCUUACACUGUAGUUGUGCACAACAAAUGGCAACUAUUUGUGCACAGAUAAUACAAUAAUACAAUUAAGAUAUACAUACUCCAAUCAAGAGAUCCCUCAUCAAUGUGUGUUAUUUGCAACUGCCGAGAGACAGCAGGUCCUCCAAUGGUGUCAUCUCCCACCCUCCUGACAGAUUCCUCAUCCAAUGGAAGAUUGGCUUCCAAGGUAGGAAGCCAAUCUGAUUGUUGAAGCCAAUGUUUCAAAGAAAAACUGUGUUAUUUGCAACUGACGAGAGACAGCAGGUCCUCCAACGGUGUCAUCUCCCACCCUCCUGACAGAUUCCUCAUCCAAUGCAAGAUUGGCUUCCAAGGUAGGAAGCCGAUCUGAUUGUUGAAGCCAAUGUCUCAAAGAAAAACUACCAUGAUACUGCCAUAAAAUAAAAAGGAAGAGAUAAACUUUCACAUCCCUAAACUCACAAAUGGAAAAAUUGAAACAUGGGAAGAACGUCCUAGAAACAGAAUAUAAAAUCUCCAACAGGGCUUCACACAGCGAAACAUUUAAUGCAUACGCAAUAUCUAAACCUUACACAGAAACAGAACAUACCCCAUGUGCCAGAGUAAACGAACCACGGCCACUAGAAGGUGAAGAAAUAUAACCAUGAAAUUGCAUCGAAUAAGAAUGGUAAAUAAGUUUACGGCGAACCAGCUUCUUCAACACCUAAAAACACUUUAACAACACCAAAGUUACACCAAUAUUCAAAACCUCAAAUACCAAAUAAAGAAAACUCCAAAACAAAGCCCCAAACCGCUAUUGCUCGCAUUCCUCUACGUUUUGCUUGAGUACUGACAAGUUUCCUAAGCACAACUUUAAUGUUAUCCAAAGGGCUGCAAUUCCACAUUAUACUCAUCACCUCCAAUAAUCACACAAUAUCAAAAAAUCGAAUAAGAAAAGAAAGCUAACCUAUUAGAAUCCUUCACUAUUGCUUCAAAAACCACCUCAUCCGCCUAAAAAAACCCCAAUUCAGUUAUCCAUGCCAUAAUUAGCAGUGCUAAGAACAAUCAUUUUUGGACAUUAAGCACUAUCCUUAGUGAUAAUAACCGAAAAUCACAACGAAAUUAACAAUAUUUAACAGAUAAAGAUUAAAAAAAAAAAUUGAAGUAGACUUUUCUGGCUUACCCGGCCACCAAGGCCAAUACUGACACGAUCAAGCACCUUAAAAUCAGACAUCUUGAACCUCAUAACAUUUCCUCCUCCUCCUCAAUCACACAUCUCCUUCCAUCUCCUUCCGAUUCCAACGGAGUCACGGCCUUACUCGGCGACGAACACCCCAGCACCGUCCCUACUUCUCUCCUAGAACAACUGCUUCUCGCACCGAUGAUACUACCAUUACUACGUCGUUUAGUCAGUUUCAUCGUCGACAAAUUAUCAGAAAAAGAACAGAAUCCGACUCCAUAUAUUGCGGCCGCCGUCGUUGUCGCCGCCGUCAAUCGAUCAAUCCGUUAGAACUCUAAGAACAUUUUUUGAUUCAGAGACGAGUUAGUUAGCAGAAGGAAUGAGAGGAAAGUGUGAAGAAAUAGAGAAGAGAGUGAGAGAUGCGUGAAGGAAUCCGGAGCCCUGGGCUAGCCUCGUGUCAGCUUUUGUUUUUCCGAAUAUCUCCUAAAUUUCACCUCCUGUUAUUUUUUAUGUUUUGCGUACCCUGCACACUCCUAUCUCCGCCACGCCACUUUUCGUUGUUUCCCAAAGAAUUAUUAUUAAUUAUUAAUUAACAAUACCAAAGUUUUAAGACCCGGCUCGGUGGCCGGCCCGGUCCAAAGCUCGGGUUCUGGGUUUUGGCCGGGUCUCCGGGUUUGGCCAGGUCGGCCGGGUCAAUUCUUUAAAAAAAAAAAAUCAAGUAAAAAAAAAACAAAAGUCAACGGGUUUGUCACCGGGUCUUGACCGGGUCAGCCGGGUCACACCGGGUUUUUCCUUCCCCUGUUUUUUCGUCAACCCGGCCCGGUUCCAGCCCCGGGUCGGCCGGGUCCCGGGUCGACCCACCGGGCCGGGCCAGGUUUCAAAACUAUGAACAAUACUCUAAAUAAUGUCCAAACCACUAUUUCCCAACACCAAAAUCAUUUUAGAUUACAACAAUAAUUUAUAUUUUUUAUAAUUUUUUUUAUCCAUUUUUCAUUUUUUUUUUACUUUUUUUUUACACUUUUUAUUUUUUUUAUUUUUUUUCCCCAAAAUUAUUUUUGUCAAUUUUAGUUUUUUAAUAUUGAGUUGGUUAAAAAUUUUGCUUUGUAAUUUUUUUCCUUUAAAAUACUAUGGAUUGCUACGGUGUUUUUCCACAUGGUUUUUCUAUUUUAUUUUUUUAUUUUUAAAAUUAUAUUUGUCGAUUUUACUUUUUUAAUAUUAAGCUGAUUAAGAAUUUAGUUUUGUAAUUUUUUUCUUUAAAACAUUGUUGAUUGCUACAGUUUUUUUUCACAUGGUUUUUUUUAUUUGUUUUUUUAUGAUUUUCUCCAAAAUUAUCUUUUUUAAUUUUAUUUUUUAAUAUUGAGCUGGUUAAAAAUUACAGUUACAAUAUAUAAGGGAAGCACUGUAGCUUUCCUCGCAAAUUACUGUGGAUUGCUACAAUGUUUUUUCCCACAUAGUUUUUUUUUGUUUUUUUUUAAAUUAUCUUUGUUAAUUUUAUUUUUUGAUAUUAAGCUGGUUAUGAAUUACAAUUAAGUAAUAAGCUAAAGGGUGUAGGGAAUUCACUGUUCACCCACGCCCAAUGCAUUGUGGAUUACAAUAGUAAUCCACAGUGCAUUCCUCUCUUUUUUUUCAUCUUUUUUUUUUCAAAUUUCCCCCUUUUUUUCCAAAAUGACUUUUCUUUUUUUUUUUUCCAACUUUUUGCUUUUUUUUUGUUUAUUUUUUUCAAAAUUAUCUUUGUCGAUUUUACUUUUUUAAUAUUGAGCUGGUUAAAAAUUUUGCUUUGUAAUGUUUUUCCUUUAAAAUACUGCGAAUUGCUACGGUGCUUUUUCACAUGGUAUUUCUAUUUUAUUUUUUGAUUUUUUAUAAUUAUAUUUGUUGAUUUUAUUUUUUUCAAUAUUGAGCUGAUUGAUAAUUUAGUUUUGUAAUUUUUUUCUUUAAAACAUUGUUGAUUGCUUACAGUGUUUCUCCGCAUGAUUUUUUUUUGUUUUGUUUUUUGAUGAUUUUAUCCGAAAUUAACUUUUUUUGAUUUUAUUUUUUAAUAUUGGACUGGUUAAAAAUUACAGUUACAAUAUGUGAGAAAAACACUGUAACUUUCCUCGCAAAUUACUGUGAAUUGCCAUAGUGUUUUUUCGCACAAGGUUUUUUUCCAGUUUCUUUUAUGUUUUCUUUUUUUGUAAUAUUUUUUUCCAAAAUUAUCUUUGUCAAUUUUAUUUUUUUAAUAUUGAGCUGGUUAGAAUUUAACUUUGUAAUAAAGCUUAAUCAUGUGGAGAAAGCAUUGUACCUUUUCUCACAAAACACUAUGAAUUGCUAGAGUGUCUCUCAACAUAGUUUUUUUUUUCUUAUGAUUUUUUCAAAAUUAUCUUUGUUCAUUUUAUUUUUUUAAUAUUGAGCUGGUUGAGAAUUAUAAUUACAAGUCAUUACAAAUAAGGCUAAAUCAUGUGGGGAAGCAUUGUAGCUUUCAUCACAAAACAUUGUGAAUUGCUACAAUGUUUCCAACAUGGUUUUUUUGUUAUUUUUUUUCUAAAAUUGUAUUUGUCGAUUUUAUUUUUUUAAUAUUGAGCUUAUUGAGAAUUUAUCUUUGUAAUUUUUUUCUUUAAAACACUGUGAAUUGUUGCAGUGUUUCCAACAUGAUAUUUUUUUAUUUUUUCCAAAAUUAUUUUUGUCGAUUUUUUUUAAUAUUGAGCUGGUUAAAAAUUAUAAUUACAAUAAAGCUAAAUCAUAUCGGGAAAGCGUUGUAGCUUUUCUCACAAAACACUGUGAAUUGCUACAGUAUCUCUCUAAAUGGUUUUUUUAUGAUUUUUUUCUAAAAUAGUCUUUGUUGAAUUUAUUGGAGAAAACACUAUAGUUUUCCUCACAAAACAUUGUCAAUUGCUACAACGUUUUUCCUCAUGGGUUUUUUUUCCUUCCAAAAUUAUCUUUGUUGUUUUUUUUUUUAAUAUUAAGUUGGUAGAGAAUUUAGCUUUGUAAUUUGUUUUCUUUUUAUUAACAGAAAAGCUAAAAAAUACGGCGAAAACAAUCAUUUUGUUCAGUCUCUAAGUUUUUGAUUACCAAAACAACUUUUUUUUCCCAUCAUGAAAUAUUGGCUUCAUCAUACCUUUAUUUUUAUUACUUAUCUAGCGCUGGUUCACAAUUAUAACACUAUCAAGUACAUUUGUUUUAUAAAGCCGCGGCAGCGCGCGGGCAUGCCAUCUCGUCAAUACUCUAAAUGGUGUGGGGGAAUCACUGUUCCCCCACACCCAAAAUAACUAUGGAUUACAACAGUAAUCCACAGUGCAUCCAUCAUUUUCUUUUUCUUUUUGCAUUUUUUCAUUUUGUUUUCCAACUUUUCCAUUUUUUUUCAACUUUCCUCUGUUUUUUAUUUUUGCAUUUAUUUUUUCUUUUUUUUUCCAAAAUUAUUUUUGUUGAUUUUACUUUUUAAAUAUUGAGCUGGUUAAAAAUUUUGCUUUGUAAUUUUUUUCCUUUAAAAUACUGUUGAUUCCUUUAAAUUUUGCUUUCUAUUUUAUUUUUUUAUUUUUCAAAAUUAUAUUUGUCAAUUUUUUUUAAUAUUGAGCUGAUUAAGAAUUUAGUUUUGUAAUUUUUUUUAAAAAAAACAUUGUUGAUUGCUACAGUGUUUCUCCGCACGGUUUUUUUUUGGAUUUUCUCCGAAAUUAUCUUUUUUUAUUUUAUUUUUUAAUAUUGAGUUGGUUAAAAAUUACAGUUACAAUAUGUGAGGAAAGCACUGUAACUUUCGUCGCAAAUUACUGUGGAUUGCUACACUAUUUUUUCCCACAUGGUUUUUUUUUGUUUCGUUAUGUUUUUCCCUAAAAUUAUCUUUGUCAAUUUUAUUUUUUAAAUAUUAAGUUGGUUAAGAAUUGCAAUUACAAGUAAAUACAAGUUUUUCCUCACAAAACACUAUAGAUUGAUAUAGUUUUUCCUCACAUGGUUUUUUUUUCCAUUUUCUUUUGUGUUUUUUUUUUGUAAUAUGUUUUUUCAAAAUUAUCUUCGUCGAUUUUUUUUCAUAUUGAGUUGGUUAGAAUUUAACUUUGUAAUAAAGCUUAAUCAUGUGGGGAAAGCAUUGUGGAUUUCCUCACAAAAUAUUGUGGAUUACUAUAGUGUCUCUCCACAUGAUUGUUUUUUCUUAUAAUUUUUUUCAAAUUAUCUUUGUCAAUUUGAUUUUUUUUAAUAUUGAGUUGUUUGAAAAUUACAAUUACAAGUCAUUACAAAUAAGACUAAAUCAUGCGGGGAAGCAUUGUAGCUUUCAUCACAAAACACUGUGAAUUGCUAUAGUGUUUCCAACAUGAUUUUUUUCCCUUUCGUUUGGUGUUUUUUUGUUAUUUUUUUCUAAAAUUGUCUCUGUCGAUUUUUUUUAAUAUUGAGCUAAUUAAAAAUUUAGCUUUGUAAUUUUUUCUUCUUUAAAACACUUUGAAUUGUUACAGUGUUUUCCCAUAUGAUUUUUUUAUUAUUUUUUUAAAAUUAUCUUUGUCGAUUUUUUUUUAAUAUUGAAUUGGUUAAGAAUUAUAAUUACUGUGGCACAUCACCCGCGCGGCUUUGGCGGGUGAUUUUCAUUCGUUUCGUUGAUUUGAUUCGUUGGGAGUCGCCACCUAGUAUUUAAUUGAGGAGUACUAGGAAACCCGGGUGUACUGGUCUUGUCAGAUAUUCACGGGUAAGGGACUUGUUGUGGUUAGGGAAGGUAUUAGCACCCCUAGCGCACCCUACCUGAGGUAAGCUGCUUCGCGAUUUGAUGUAAUUUAAAAUUUUUGAAAGUUGUCUUGCUAAUGAAUUAAAAAUAGAAGAAAAGUUCUCCUCGGUAAGGAGAUCCUUAUCUUAUCGGAUAAAAAAACCAUAUUGCUCUAGCAUCAAUAAAAACAAAACAAAUUUUUCUGUUUAAUAUCAAGAAUGCAUCUUACGUAUAAGAUUAAAAUCCUCAAUACCAAAAAAAAAAUAUUUUUUGAUAUUUGUUUUUUGAAAUAUAAACCAAAUUCAAUGCAAACUAAAACAUUUAAUUUUUUUAUUUCUUUUUAAUUUUAUCAUAACAACACAUACAUAAAAAUAAUAACAAAACACCCACUCAAAUACUUUACUUUUACUAUGUCUAAGCACACACCCAUUACAUAAUUACAAAUCAAUCAAAAUUUAAAAUAAACAAAUAGUACAUUAAACAAAACAAAAAAAAUACAAAAUAGCCCCAAAACAAUCUGGGAUAACAGGGAAAGCCUUCUGCACCACCAAAACAGCAGCAGUGCGUCUCCUCCACGCGCCACCGUCACUGGCGGCGCGUGGGUUCACGUGCCGCCGCAAAAAAAAACAGGCAGCAGGGGAGAUCCAAAGCGGCUUCUCCCUUCUUCCUCACCGACAGUGACUGCUACCUCUACCUGCAACAAGAAACACAAAAAAAAGGCCACAAACAGUUGAUUUUAGCUUUUUCUUUCUUUGUUUUUCAGAUCUGCAUUUCUCAUUUCUCCUUCUUCGGACCUACUUCUUGCGGGUCAGUUUGUUAUGGGUUUCGUCUUCUUCUCCUUUGCUUCGGGUGGCAGGUCUGGCGAUUGUAGAGGGGGGCAGCGGCGUUGAUGAUCUCCACUCCUGUUGGUUGUCGCGGCGGUUGGGUUUGCUGCUAGAGGAAGAAGGCGUUGCUGCACGAGGAGAGGGAUGUCGUGUCCGGUCCGUCAUUGAGGUCAAAAGUGAGGGAAUAGUCGAGGUCUGUAAGAUACUGAAUCUCCAAGUGAUGGCAGCGCUGUUGUGGCUGUUGGGUGGAGGAUUUGGGUCUGUGGGGGCUGUGAGGGGUUGUCUUGUGGCCGGCUGGUUCUCUGUGGGGGGCUGGUUGAGAGAGGAGAGGCUGGGAGAGGGAAGGUGAAUAUGGUCGGGGGGAGCGGCCACGAAAGAAGCAAAAUCGAGAACUAGUGGGGGGCAGCGGUUGCUCUUUUUGUUUUUUCAAGUGGGGAGCGCUGCCGUUUGGUUAGAGGUAGGUUUAGGUUUUUAGGGUUAGGGUUUUUUUUGUAUUAUCUUUCAAAUGUGCAAAAUUGGCCCCUCUUUUGUGUGUGUUGAAGACCAGUAUUUAUAGGUAAAAAUGUUGUUAGGUCUCAAACUUGGUCCCUCAACUUCUUUUUUUGUAAAUUUUGAUCUUUCUUAUUUUUUUGGAUUUUUCUUAUCAACAUCGACUCGAAUGAGGAAAAUCGGUGAUUUUAAAAUAACGCGUUCUAAAAACCUUCAAAAAUUUAAAUUCUUUUGAGACGAUGCUAAAAAUGAUGCAAAUAUAUUAAAAAAACAUAUUUUUUGGAUUUUUGUUGUUUUUUCGCUAUUUUUGGAUUUUUUCUGAAAAUUUAUCAAAACAUGGGUAAAAAAUUGGGUAGUAACAAUUACAAUAAAGCUAAAUCAUAUGAGAAAAUCGUUGUAGUUUUUCUCACAAAACACUGUGGAUUGUUACAAUAUUUCUCUAAAUAGUUUUUUAUUCUAUUUUUUUGGGGAAAACACUGUAGUUUUCCUCACAAAACAUUGUCAAUUGCUACAACAUUUUUCCUCAUGAGUUUUUUUCCUUCCAAAAUUAUCUUUGUUGGUUUUUUUUUAAUAUUAAGUUGGUAGAGAAUUUAGCUUUGUAAUUUUUUUUGCUUUUUAUUAACAGAAAAGCUAAAUCAUGUGGCGAAAGCGCUGUAUCUUUCCUCACGAAAUACUGUAAAUUGCUACAAAUCAUUUUGUUCAGUCUCUAAGUUUUUGAUCACCAACACAACUUUUUUUUCCGUCAUCAAAUAUUUGCUCAAUCAUACCUUUAGUUUCUAUUACUUAUCUAGCGUUGGUUCACAAUUAUAACACUAUCAAGUGCAUUUGUUUUAUAAGCUCGUGGCAGCGCGCAUGCAUGUCAUCUUGUACAUACAUCUAAAUGGUGUUGGGGAAUCAUUGUUCCCCCACACCCGAAAGCACUGUGGAUUACAACAGUAAUCCAUAGUGCAUUCCUCCUUUUUUUUCACUUUCUAAUUUUUUUUUCCUUUUUCAUUUUUUAUGUCACUUUAUUUAUUUUUUUGCACUUUUUAUUUUUUUUUGUUUGUUUUUUUUUCUAAAAUUAUCUUUGUCAAUUUUAGUUUUUUAAUAUUGAACUUAUUAAAAAUUUUUCUUUUUAAUUGUUUUGCUUUAAAAUACUGUGGAUUGCUACGGUGUUUUUCCACGUGGUUUUUCUAUUUUAUUUUUUUUAUUUUUCAAAAUUAUAUUUGUCGAUUUUUUUUUAAUAUUGAGCUGAUAAAGAAUUUAGUUUUGUAAUUUUUUUCUUUAAAACAUUGUUGAUUGCUACAGUGUUUCUCCGCAUGGUUUUUUUUAUUACCUCCGAAAUUAUCUUUUUUUUAUUUUAUUUUUUAAUAUUGAGUUGGUUAAAAAUUACAGUUACAAUAUAUGAGGAAGCACUGUAGCUUUCCUCACAAAUUACUGUAGAUUGCUAUAAUGUUUUUUCCCACAUAGUUUUUUUUUAUUUCUAAAAUUAUCUUUGUCGAUUUUUUUUAUAUAUAUUAAGCUGGUUAUGAAUUACAAUUAAGUAAUAAGCUAAAGAGUGUGGGGAAUUCACUGUUCACCCACACCCAAUGCAUUGUGGAUUACAAUAGUAAUUCACAGUGCAUUCCUCUUUUUUUUUAAACUUUUUUUUUUCAUCUUUUUUUUUUCAAAUUUCCCCUUUUUUAUUUUUUUCCCAAAAUUACUUUCCUUUUUUUUGCCAACUUUUCCUUUUUUUUUAUUUUUUUUUUCAAAAUUAUCUUUGUCGAUUUUACUUUUUUAAUGUUGAGCUGGUUAAAAAUUUCGCUUUGUAAUUUUUUCCUUUAAAAUACUGUGAAUUGCUACGGUGCUUUCCCACAUGGUUUUUCUAUUUUAUUUUUUGAUUUUUCAAAAUUGUAUUUGUUGAUUUUAUUUUCUUAAUGUUGAGCUGAUUGAGAAUUUAGUUUUAUAAUUUUUUUCUUUAAAACAUUGUUGAUUGCUUACAGUGUUUCUCUGAAUGGUUUUUUGUUUGUUUGUUUUUUGAAGAUUUUCUCCGAAAUUAACUUUUUUGAUUUUAUUUUUUAAUAUUGGGCUGGUUAAAAAUUACAGUUAUAAUAUGUGAGAAAAACAUUAUAACUUUCCUCGUAAAUUACAGUGAAUUGCCAUAAUUGUUUUUCGCACAAGGUUUUUUUCCAGUUUCUUUUGUGUUUUGUUUUUUUGUAAUAUUUUUUCUCAAAAUUAUCUUUGUCAAUUUUAUUUUUUUAAUAUUGAGCUGGUUAGAAUUUAACUUUGUAAUAAAGCUUAAUCAUGUGGAGAAAGCAUUGUACCUUUCCUCACAAAACACUAUGGAUUGCUAGAGUGUCUCUCAAUAUAGUUUUUUUUUCUUAUGAUUUUUUUAAAAUUAUCUUUGUCAAUUUUAUUUUUUUAAUAUUGAGCUGGUUGAGAAUUAUAAUUACAAGUCAUUACAAAUAAGGCUAAAUCAUUUGGGGAAGCACCGUAGCUUUCAUCACAAAACAUUGUGAAUUGCUACAAUGUUUCCAACAUGGUUUUUUUCCAUGUUUUUUUUGUUAUUUUUUUCUAAAAUUGUAUUUGUCGAUUAUAUUUUUUUAAUUUUGAGCUUAUUAAAAAUUUAGCUUUGUAAUUUUUUUCUUUAAAACACUGUGAAUUGUUGCAGUGUUUUCCCAUAUGAUUUUUUUAUGAUUGUUUCCAAAAUUAUCUUUUUCAAUUUUUUUUUUGAAUAUUGAGAUGGUUGAGAAUUAUAAUUACAAUAAAGCUAAAUCAUAUGGGGAAAGCGUUGAAGCUUUUCUCACAAAACACUGUGAAUUGCUACAGUAUUUCUAUAAAUGGUUUUUUUUAUGAUUUUUUUUCUAAAAUUGUCUUUGUCAAUUUUAUUGGAGAAAGCACUGUAGUUUUCCUCACAAAACAUUAUCAAUUGCUACAACGUUUUUCUUCAUUGGUUUUUUUCCUUCCAAGAUUAUCUUUGUUAGUUUUUUUUUUAAUAUUAAGUUGGUAGAGAAUUUAGCUUUGUAGUUUUUUUCUUUUUAUUAACAGAAAAGCUAAAAAAUAUGACGAAAACAAUCAUUUUGUUCAGUCUCUAAUUUUUUUUUUAUCACCAACACAACUUUUUUUCCCAUCAUGAAAUAUUGACAUCAUCAUACCUUUAGUUUUUAUUACUUAUCUAGCGCUGGUUCACAAUUAUAACACUAUAAAGUACAUUUGUUUUAUAAGCCCGCGACAGCGUGCGGACGUGCCAUCUCGUAAUUAUAUUAUUAUAGGUUGUUAUGCUCAAGGAUGUUAAACCCGGAAAUCGGAAUGUCUAAUGAAUUUAGUUGAAAAAUUCGUAAUUUAAAGAUAGACUCUUUUUUUAUUUUACUCGAGAUUGAAUUGACUUGUUAGUUAUGUUAACUCUAUUUUAUAUAUAUAUAUAUAUAUAUAUAUAUAUAUAUAUAUAUAUAUAUAUUGUCAUCAUCCAUCUAGGUAAAUAUAAUUUUUAAAUUUAAAGGAAAAUAUAAAAUUUUCCUCAUAUAUAAUAUAAUACAAACACUACAAAUCUCUCUUUAAACAUAAUUUCUCUCCCCUAAGAAAACCCUAAAUUGAUUUCUCUUUUCCAAUUGAAGAUCAGAUCUAGGUGAAAUUUUAUGGGCAAGGGGAAGUAAACAACCUAAAAGCUUUGUGCUAGUUAUUUGUAUUUUCUUACCUCUUUGAUCUUAAAUCCAGCCAUGUGUACGGUUAAGAACUGGUUCAUGGGUUGCCUUUGGAUUGAAAUAAGCUCCGGCAAUAAUUAGGAAAGAGUGAUGUUAAGUUUGAUGUACUAUAUUUUAGUUUGGUGGAUUGGGUGGCCCAGCGAAGAAAAAAACAGAAGAAGAAGAAAAGAAUAAGGGUGGGAGUACUACUUGCUGUGGGGCAGAUGUGUCAAUCAAUAACUAUGAUGUGGCACAUUACAAAAGUGUUUUGAUUUUCUAUUUUGACGGUGAUUAGUGAUGUCAGUAAAUCAGUUGUCGAAUAAUAGUCGUUGACAGUAAUUAGUGAUGUCGGUAAACCAGUUUCCACUUUUACCACUUUUAUCAGUUUCCACUAUGAUAUGGUACAUCACAAAAGUGUUUUGAUUUUCAACUUUUACCAAUAAUUAGGGAUAUCAUUAAACCAAUUGUUGAAAAAUAGGAGAUGGUUUUUUUUAUCAGUUUUCACAUUCAACGUUAAUUAAUGAGAUCUUAAGUUAAUUAAUGAUAUCUUAAAAAUUUAAGUAGCUUAUUGUCGAAUUCUUUUUUCCGGUCAAGCUGGCUAGUAAUCAAUACUUAGUGUCUGGUAAGAUAAAGUGGUUGGUUGCUAAUACUUGUACUUAGUGUCUGGUAAGAUAAAGUGGUUGGUUGCUAAUACUUGUGAAAAUCUUUUUUUUUUUUUGUAGAUUUAGUGUCUGCUUGGGAGUGUGGUUGCGAUUGCUUUUCAAAGUGUUUUUCGUGAAAUGAUGUUUUUUCAUUUUUAAAAAAUCAUUUUUGAAAUCAGCGCAUCAAAACGAUCCAAAACAUACAAAAAAUUAAUUUUUAGCAAAAAAAAAUUUAAUUUUUGUGGAACGCGGUGCAAACGGUGCUUAAAGAGACUCUCCGAUACUUAAAUAUCUUUUUUAGAGAAAAUGCCAAAAUAUAUUAGAGAGAUAGAAUUUGAAAGUAUGUAUGCUAAAAAUCCUAUCAGAUUGAAAAAUUGAUUAUUUUCUUCUCAAGAUCUAAUAGGUCUUUAUAGCCCAUGAUUCUUACCUUUUUUUAUCGAGAGGAAGACCCCAAAGUCCUCAUUUUCUGAUAGCAUUAAAAUAUUUUUUAUGUGUUAAAGGGAGAAAAAGAUCUCUAACUCAUUAUAGGGUAAAAGAUCUCUAACUCAUUAGAGAAAAAAUAUAUAUGACUCAUCACAUGGAAAAAGAUCUUUGAGAAUCUCGUGAUUCAAUAUGGAGCAUGAUAAGAUUGUCAGAGCCACAUGUACUUGGAUUCAGCAAUUGACUAGGUCCAAUGAUGCUGAGUUUGGUAAUUUGCAAGAACCAUACAUGUUUGGGAUUAGCGCUUAGUUGAGCUCAAGAAUGUGAGGUCUAGUAGUUCGCCAGACUCAUGUAUGCUUGGACUCAGCACUUAAAUGAGCCUAAGAAUGUUGGGUGUAGUAGCUCAUCAAACUGAUCUAUGAAUGCCUGGGCUCAAUGCUUGGCUGAGCCCAAGAAUGUUGGGUAUGAUAGCUCGCCAGACCCAUCUAUGCUUGGGCUCAGAAUAAUAUGGGAUAGUUACUUUCUGUGGGGUAAUGUGUCAAUAACUGUAAAAAGGUCGUAUCACCCAUUACAAAAGUGUUUUGAAUUUUUUUUUUAAUUCGAGUCAGUUUCAUAUAUCUCGACUAAUUUUAUAAGCCUUGAAGUUAAUAAUUAUGUAAGCCUUCAGUGACCUUGAGAUUUAUGGGACUCGAACUGGUGAUCUUUAGAGAACAAACCCAAAACCUGACCAGUUGAGUUACACCCCUCAAGAUUUUUAAUUUUCUAUUUUUAAAGUGAUUAGUGAUGUCAUAUACCAUUUGUGAAAGAAUAGCCGACAAUAUUAGUUUCCAGUAUGAUAUGGCCCAUCACAAAAGUGUUUUGAUUUUCUACUUUUAUCAAUAAUUAAGGAUGUCGAUAAAUCAAUUGUCAAAUAAUAAUAAUUGAUGUUUUUUUAUUAGUUUUCACAGAUAGUGUUAAUUAAUUAGAUACUAAAAAAUUCAAGUAGCUUAGGAGUAAGGCUUAUAUAUUGGAUAAUCGGUUUCUUCAACUAAAAAUUGAUCUCAUAUGAAAACAAAAUCCUACAACAACAUUCAUACAUUUAUUAAUAACAAAAAAAAUUAAAAACAAGAUAAAAAAAAAUAUAGUGAAAACAAAAACUCGAAAAAAAAAAGAAAAAAAAAUUUACCUUAAUGUAGUUGCAAGCAAAGCUAAGAAGAGAAAAAAAAUCAUAAAGUAUAUUAAUUAAAAAAAAACUAAGAAGAAAAAAGAAGGAGAAAAAUACAUACUUGAGCAUGGAGGAGAAGAGGAGUCAAGGAGAAAAGAGAAGAGAAGAGAAAGAAAUGGAUAUUGAUUUUUUUUGCAUAUGAAAAAGAAGAAGAAGAAGAAGAAAGGAGCCUUGUUUGUUGUGAAAUUGGGGAUUCCAGAUUUUUUAUUGGGGUGUUUUACAGACGGAUAAUUAAAUAUUAAUAUUUUUAAAUAUUCCGUAGGUAAUAUUUAAUUUAAAUUUUCAAUUUAAUCAAAAAUUUUCAGAAACCGCCAAAUAUCACCGACGAGUUUUCAAUCCGUCAGUGAUUCCGUCUGUAAUAUUUAAUUUAAAUUUUCAAUUUAAUCAAAAUUUUUUAGAAACCCACCAAAUAACACCGAUGAUUUUUUAAUCCGUCAGUGCUUUUGUCUUUAAAAAACAAUACUUAACAGUGUAAUUGGGGAGUGAACAGUUCCAAAGCUUUCUAGAAAAUACCGACGGAAUUUUCCGUUGGUGAUUCCGUCUGUAAUUAACAUAAUGAACAGUGUUAACAUUUUACCAAUGGAAUUACCGAGGGAAUUUAUUCCGUCGGUAAUUUCAUUGGUAAAAAAUGAUUUUUUUGCUUUGGUUAAUUAUUUUUUUCUCACUAUAAUUCCCUCGGUAUAUACCGAGGGUAUAUAUUUGUCGGUAAAAUUCAUCGAAAAUUUACUGACGGAAAUAUUUCCUCGGUAUUUUCGUUUGUAUUUAUCGAUUUUCUAGUAGUGUGGCCAAACUUAAUGAUAUUAGAUUAUCACUCUACCUUUAUUUCUUUAUUUUGAACAUGGUUUUUAGGCAAAUAACACAUUGAUAUAUCAUCGCGUCACACAUAAACUUUGUAAAAUCAAAUCAUUUUAUGUAAUUUAAUUAGCAUCUAUCAGUACGAGAAAUGGCAAUUAAUCUAAUUUUUUAUCAUUAAACUAUGUACUAGUUAUGCGUUUGAAAGCUAAAGAUAAUGUGUAUUAAAGUACAAUAAUGAUAUACUUACGGUUUAAAAAAAAUAUUUUAGUUGCAGUUUUAAAAUGAAAAUUAUAAUAUAUAUAUAUAUAUAUAAUUUAAAUUAUUGUGAGAUAAAUUUUUUCAUAUAAAAUAAAUUAUUCUAGCUUCUAUAAAAUUAAAAUUUAAAACAUAAUUAUGUAUGGGCACUAGUAUAAAGAAAAAAAACUAUUUACCUAAUCAAAUAAUUUUCUCUUUAUAACUAUAAUUAGACAAAAAAAAAAAAAUUCUCCAGUGGCCAUACUAGACAUGAGAUAAAUUAAGAAGAAUAAAUUCGCACAUUUCCCCUUCUCCUCUCGCUUGUAGCGAGCACUAGACAUGGAUGUUUCUUUCUUACCUUACAAAACAUUCUUCAGUGGCCAUACUAGCCUUUUCUUUUGUCCUUUCCAUCUACCGCACGAGGGAUCGCACGAAACUUGAACCAUCGCGGAAAAAUCAUGCUAGCUUUUUACGUAGCCAGGUCCUGGUAUCAAUAUAAGCACAUGGAAAGCUCCCACAAGCAAGAAGAAACCCAUUUCAGUUGCUCUGCUUUUGCUUGUCCUAGAAAAUGGCACAGGUCUCCAAGAUCCUCAAAAAGAUUGAUACUACGAAGAGGCUGUCAGUUCCUAUCAGGUUUCUCAGGUCUCUUCCACCUUUCAAACUAGGCAGCCAUGCCGUCACGUUUGAAGCUACAGACGAGAAAGGCGAAGCUUGGGCCUUUCAAUGCUCCAUCCGCAAGAGAGGACACCCGAAGCCAGUCCUCCAAAGAGGUUGGGUUGCAUUCGUUAGGAGCAAGAAGCUACAAGUUGGUGACAAGGUCAGGUUUAUUAAACAUAAGAACCGAGCUACUGCAGCAAUCUCUUACAAAGUUCGUGCUGAAAAGGCAAUCAAGAUCUUUGGUGCUACAUUUGGCUACGCACGGAUCUAGUCCAUUUCCCUAAUUAAUAGCUCUGUAAGUCAAGCUAGCAAAUAAUAGUGCCGGUUUCAGGCACUGGCUUGCAUGGUUUUUAAUCGAGUCCCUUUCUGUACUUUUGCAUUUUACUUCUCCUCAGUCGUAAUUCUACUCUACUAAGUUACCUCGGUGACUUGAAUGUCAUGCACCAGACAGGAAACACCAAGGUUGUUAUUAAUGGUUGGCUUGUUCUAUACCCAGUAGUGAAUGAAAUGGAGCCAUGUUUCCCGCUUAGGGGGACAUGUUAGCUUUCUAAGUUGGGUGAGUUUCAAGUUUCUUGAAUUCUCAUAUAUUUGUGCUGCUUCUGCAAUUAGUAUGUUUAACUUUCAAAAGCCAUCCCAUCUGCUAAGGUCUCUCAAGAUGUUUCCUUCUGCACCUUUCUUUCAAGAAUAUGGAAUUAGUGCUGAUCUCUGAAUAACGCAAUAGGUAGCUCGCGAGGCCACUUCUCAUGCAAGGGUACGUAUAGUAGUAGUAAUGUGGUAUAUGUGAUUGCGCUCUUGCAUAUGAAAUGUGAAUUAUUUUGCAUAUUCGGCAUCUUGACGAAAGAAAGUAACGAUGUUGGCUUAAAUCCGUUGCCUGAUUGCCUCUUUAAGAGGUAUUAUUUCAUGUUUAAAAUUAUGAUAUCAAAGUGGUUUUGAUCUUGAAAAUACACCUCUUGAAAUAGAGAGAUAAUAGCUAGGGUUUAUAAAUUACCUGAAUCCUCGACUUCCUAUCGACGCAGAAUAAUGAUAUAAUCAUAGAGCAUUAGUAAUGAGGAGGCUUGUUGGUUCAGUCAUGGAAUCCUCGUCACAGAACUCCAAAAACGGCACUCGUACCGUUCAUUUCUUUUCUUUUUGGCUUACAAUGGCGGCGCCAUGUGGUCAAGGUGAUGGUGAGAAUGGUGGGCGCCUUUCGAUGUGUUUGGUUUGAAGAUAUGAUUGGUUGUUUUUGUAAAAGUAUAAUUUUUUAAAAUAUAAAUUACGUUUCACAAAAAUAAAAAAAUAUAUGUUUUUUAUAUAGAUCCUACAAAAAAAAGUCAAUUAUAGCUAUAAGUCAAACAAACACAGAAAAAGACCAAAUACACCCUCGGCCCUACCACGUGCAUAUUUUUAUGAAAUUAAAGUUUUUACAAAAAUAGUUUGAUGAUUAUCACUGCGAUAAUUUGAUACUUCAUAUAUGGGUGAUGAGAUGCUGUUAGUUUUUCAUCCAAAAUUGGAUCUCUAUGACAUCUCGGUGGGAUGACAUUUUUUAGGAGGCGAAUCUCGACAAUUAUAAUGAUCUUAAUUGUUAAACAAAAUCCAGACUCCAGAGACUAUCCAAUAUACGGGUCACCCCUUGAGUCAAUUUUUUCAUUAAAAUAUAUUGUUUAUUUUUAUUAUUUUUAUUUAUAUGAAAUAUUCGAAUCAGCUUAAACUUCAACUAAAAAUAUUAUUAUUAUUAUUAUUAUUUUGAUCCAAUUAGUUCCAACAGGUCACUAAAAUUCCGACCACAUUGAAAUGAUUUGUCCGUAACAAUAUCUUAUAAAAUUCAAUUAAAAAAACCCAGCCCUAAUCUAUUUUCCGAAGCAGUCAACAAGGUAGAGUUUAACAGCUAUAAUCAUUCACUGAAUUUAUUUUUAUAUUUUAAAAAUAUUUUUUUUAAAAUAUAAAUUUUUUUUAUGUUUUUUAAAUUAAUAUUUUUUUGAUAUUUUCAUAUUAUUUUUAUAUGUUAAUAUCAAAAAUAAUUUUUUAAAAAAUAAAAAAAAUAUUUUAAAAAACAAUCACUACUAUUAUUUCAAGUAUCGCGUAAAAAAGCCAUUAUCACAAGUAAAAUAAGGACCACAUGACGUUUAAUUUUGACAAGUGAAAUAAGGACCACAUGACAUUUAAUUUUGACGCUCUGGUUAUAAUUGGAUUGACAUGAGCAGUAAAUCUCAGAGGUGUGUGUUGUGUUCGACUGGUAAUAUAUAGCCAUAGCAUCAUUUUAGGUCGAUCGGAAUCUAGAGCAUGGUGAAGCUGUUCCCCUGCUGAUGGUUUUGUAGUCUGUUUGGUAUCAUCUUGACUGCCUCUGGCUGUCUUCUUAUUAAGGUUUGGCCAAAUUAAGGGUAGAAUCAUUUUUCAAAUAAAGCUUUAUAACAUUGCAACAUUUGACAAGCCACUCAGACAUCAGGCCGCACUGCAUUUGGAAAAGGUUGAUCUUCAUCAAUUAAUCGACUGUACAAAUUACACGAGCUAGAACACAACAGCAAUUUCUAUCUACAGUACUUGCGCGCAAUGGCUAUCUACAGGUUUCAUUAACACAUAGAUCUUGUAAAUAAGAGAGCUGAUCCAUUGACCCCGCGCAGGACUAGCAGUCUGGAAUCCACAUGUUCCGCAGACGAGCCUAGACAAAUCAAACAUCUCAGGCGGAACUUGCACACGGAUUUCUUGAACUAUACUGCUUGGUGUAACAUCAUUUUGAUUAAGGUUGUCCCCGAGACUCAUUGUCACUUCAAUGUCAGCUGAAACAAGUUUGGCCACUGGAAGGCUCCAGGGAAACUCCUUAUACGGGACAAGUUUCCUCCAUUUUUUAGCUGACAAUUUCUGGGCUAAAGAAUCUUGAUUGUUUGGUUGCCCAAAGGAUAACUUCUCUUAUGUCUUUUCCUCCUUAAGAUACAACCGUCUGUUGGGGAUUCCAACCGGUCACUACCAGAAAACCGGAGAAAACCAACGGAAUUACCGACGGCCUUUUUCCGUCGGUAAUAAUUCCCGACGGAAAUAAUUGAUCCGUCUCAAAAUCUGUCGGUAUAUACCGACGGCCUAGAUCCGUCGGCGAAACGGUCGGUAUAUACCGACAGAAUAUUUCCAUCGGUAUAUACCAACCGUUUCUCCGAUGGGGUACACAGUUUGUCUGGAAAUAUGCAACGGCGUGGUGACGUCAGACUAUUUUACCGACGAAAUUACCGAGGGAUUCAAACUGAGAUAGUCGUACAGUGGCGUGGCACUGUCACCGACGGAAUCACCGACAGCUUCAUUCCGUUGGUGAUUCCAUCGGAAAAAACCAUUAUAUACCCACCCACCUGCCGACACUCUCUUCCUCUGUUUCUCCUUCUUCUUCUUUCCCAUCCCACCUCUCCCCUCCCAAACUGCAGCCAACCACCCAUCCCAACUCUCCACUAUUCUCAACACAAGCACUCGAGUUUCUUAUAUCUUGUACGUGGUCACAAUAUCCGUUUCUUGUAGAUUUUAUCAUUUUUUUGUAAGUAAAUCUAUCCUUUUUAGUUUUAAUAUUUAAAUGUUAAUUUUAUUGUUUUAGUAUAUGUAUUUUGUUAACGUUUGUACUUGUUUAAUUGUUAUUUGUCAAAGAAACUUGUAGUAUGAAUGUAUAAUUUUGUGGUUGUUAUAGUUUGUUUUAGAUUUUGUCAAAUUAUAUUUGUUUGUAAAUUGUUGAAAUUUUGUUUGAAUUACUCCAAAUUAAAUGUGUUGUGAUAUGAAAUAAAUAAUUAAUAGCUUGUUUAACGAGUCUUGUUUAAUUGUUAUCAAUUCUAUUUCGAAGUUGUGAUUUCUGUAAAUUUAUAUAUGUAUAAAUUUGUAUGUAUGAACGUUGAUAGUUGAUAAUUGAUAAUGAAUAUUUAACAUAAGUGUUGUUUUAGUUUGUUGGAUAAUGUCGGGGAAAACCAAUAUUUUUGUUAUGUUUUAUAGAGGUUCAAUAGAAGUCAUGGAUGACCGUUCAUGGAUGUAUCAAGACUCACCCCAAGGAUUGCGGAGGAUGGAUUAUUGUAACGGUGCCCAGGGUUUUAUUAAUUUUACAACAUCUAUUCCGAGGAAUUUUACUGAUGGUGGUAUUAAGUGUCCAUGCAGGAAGUGUAAAAAUUUAAAGUUUUUGCAUCAAGAAGUUGUAACGAUGCAUCUUCUAACCAAAGGGUUCAUGAAGGAUUACAUGUGUUGUUAUGCUCAUGGAGAACUAUUUGUUCUUGAUGAGAGCAUGGAAGAACAGGUGGUUGUGUCAACUUCUAGUGCUAGCAACAUGCAUGAAGUUGGAAAUGAGAACAGUAAUCCUUACAGGAAUAUGGUUAUGGAUGCAAUGAGAAUGAGUGAAGGUAAUGUCAGGGAAUGUCCAAUCAUAGAAGAAGAACCUAAUGCAGAUGCAGUAAGGUUUUUUGAUCUGUUGAGAGAUUCUGACGAACUAUUAUGGGAUGGCUGCAUGAACCACAGUAAAUUAUCAGCCGUAGCACAGGUGUUCACCAUCAAGUCAGAUCNNNNNNNNNNNNNNNNNNNNNNNNNNNNNNNNNNNNNNNNNNNNNNNNNNNNNNNNNNNNNNNNNNNNNNNNNNNNNNNNNNNNNNNNNNNNNNNNNNNNGGGCGAGAAGCAUUUUACCUGAAGGGAACAGGCUGAAAGAGAACUUCUAUGCUGCCAAGUCCAUGAUGAAACCCCUCGGGUUUAGGAUACCAGAAAAUUGAUAUAUGCCCUAACUUCUGCAUGUUAUACUACUUUGAAAAUGCUGAGAUGACCGAGUGCAUGACAUGCGGGCAUUCCCGUUACAAACCCAGAACUGGUAGAGGGAAGACUCUCGUGGCAUAUAAAAAACUUAGAUACUUCCCAAUCACACCUAGACUGCAGAGGUUAUUCAUGUCACCAAGGACUGCUGAGCAUAUGACAUGACACCAAUCACACCAUGCGGUUGAUGAAGUGAUGGUUCAUCCUUCUGACGGUGAAGCCUGGAAACACUUUAACAGUAUGAAUCCUCACUUUUCAGCUGAAUCAAGGAACGUGCAUCUUGGGUUGUGUAUAGACGGAUUCAACCCAUUCGGGUCAUUUGCUGCUCCUUAUUCUUGUUGGCCGGUCAUACUGACGGUUUAUAACUUGCCACCGGGGAUGUGUAUGAGGCCGGAGUUCAUGUUUUUAUUUAUGGUCAUACCAGGUCUGAGCAGUCCGGGGCGGAAUAUAGAUGUUUGUCUUCGUCCUUUGAUUGAUGAGUUGACGCAGUUGUGGUCCUCUAGAGCUUUGACUUAUGACAUUUCGAGGAAACAAAAUUUUGUUAUGAGAGCGGCUUUGAUGUGGACUAUCAAUGAUUUCCCAGCUUAUGGAAUGGUUUCUGGUUGGAGCACACAUGGAAAGCUAGCAUGUCCAUAUUGUAUGGAGAAUAACAAGGCAUUCACGCUAACAAAUGGGGGUAAAGCUUCUUUUUUUGACUAUCACUGUUGUUUCUUGCCACAUAACCACAGGUACAGAAAGAACAGAAAGGAUUUCUUUGUUGGCAGAGUUGAAAAGGAUGUUGCACCCCCGCGUCUUUCCGGUGAAGAAUUGUUUGAUGUUGUGUCAGAGUACAAUGACAUUGUGUUUGGUCUCCAAUCAGGUAAGCAGAAGUUUCCUGGUUUUGGUUUGACCUAUAAUUGGGUGAAGCGAAGUAUCUUUUGGGAGCUUCCUUAUUGGAAGACCAAUCUUCUCCUCCAUAACCUUGACGUCAUGCACAUUGAAAAGAACGUGUUUGAGAACAUUUUCAACACCGUCAUGGAUGCGAAAGGGAAGACAAAGGACAACAUCAAGGCUAGAUUGGAUGUAGCGCUGUUCUGUAACCGUAAAAAUAUGGAGUUGGUUUCUGAUGGGUCACGGGUCGCAAAACCAAGAGCAAGCUUCGUGCUAGAGAAAAACGCACAACUACUAGUCUACAAAUGGCUUAAGAGUCUGCGUUUCCCCGAUGGACAUGCCUCGAACAUAUCAUGGCUGGUUAAUACGGAGGAAUGCAGAUUUUAUGGAAUGAAAAGUCAUGACUGCCAUGUGUUUAUGCAAACACUUAUCCCAUUAGCUUUUCAUGAUUUGUUGCCAAAAGGGAUAUGGGAUGCACUAACGAAGAUCAGUCAUUUCUUCAGAGAUAUAUGCUUCAUUAAGUUGAAUGUUGAUCACAUUGAAAGGCUUGAAAAGAAUAUCGUCGAGACAGUAUGCAAACUUGAGAUGAUAUUCCCUCCAUCAUUUUUUGACUCAAUGGAGCAUCUACCCGUACAUUUACCGUUUGAGGUAAAAGUUGGAAGACUGGUCCAGUACAGAUGGAUGUAUCCAUUCGAGAGGUUAGAUAUUACAUGAGCUAUGUAAUUUAUAAUUAAAUGUUUUUAUUUUUAUUUUUAAUGUUUUUAAUUGAUAAUUUAUUAUAUAUAUAUAUAUAUAUAUAUAUAUAUAUAUAUAUAUAUAUAUAUAUGCAGGUACUUGUUCAAUCUUAAAAAAAGGUGAAGAACAAGGCGCAUGUUGAGGCGUCAAUAUGUGAGGCCUAUAUUGUUGAGGAGAUCUCAACAUUUGUCUCAUACUAUUUCGAACCUCAUUUGAGAACGAGGAUAAAUCGUGUUCCACGGCAUGAUGAUGGUGGUGAAGUGCCUUCAAGUGGGAACUUGUCAAUAUUCUCCAAUCCUGGACGACCCACACCUAAAAAUGCCGUGAGGGGAAGAUAUUUGUCUGAAAUAGAGUUCAGACAAGCACACAAUUAUGUCAUAUUUAACUGUGAUGAGCUAAGACAUUUUAUUAAGUAAGUAGAUGUUCGACUUAAACUUUGUCAAGAGUGUACUAUUUAUGUUUUGUGAUACCAUACACUCAUAUAAUUUGGAACAACCUUGCAGGCAACAUCGACGAUACUUACUGUCCAAUAACUCACAACUGACCGAAUCCCAGAUCUUUCAAUUACAAGAUGAACAAUUUGCCACAUGGUUUAGAACACAUGUAAGUCCUAUCACAAACUCAUUAUCUUUUGCAAUGUAAUUAAUUGUAGUCAAUGUUACAUAAUAUUCGUUUAUUGAUUAUUAUUGUAUUUAAUUUACAAGCUAGGUUUAUCAAAUGGGAGGUAGUGCUGCUAUUUCACUGUUUUUACUAUGCCUGGGCCCUGAAAGAAAAGUCAAGUGUUAUAACGGGUAUUUUGUCAAUGGAUAUGUCUUUCAUACUGAAGAAUACGGGCAUGGAAGAAAGACAUACAACAGCGGUAUUUGUAUCAAGGGAUCAACUUCUAGUGAGUUUGAAUUUGACUACUACGGUAGAUUGGAAGAGGUCAUCGAACUGCAAUAUCAUAGCGAGCAAAAUAGAGUGUUUUUAUUCAAAUGUUAUUGGUAUGACACAACUGACAGAGGAAUCAGAGUAGAUCCUCACUAUAGUCUCGUUGAAAUCAACUCAAAAGCUAGACACCGCAACGUAAAUGACGUCUUUGUUUUCGCAAAGCAAUGCCAACAAGUUUAUUACACAUACACCCCUUCCUUUAGAAAGGAUCGAUCAAGAGUUGAUUGGUUAUCCGUUUUAAAAACAAAACCCAAGGGUCGUGUCGAGAUUGUUCAGGAUGAGAACAAAGACAUAAGUGUGAUAGAUGAAGUCUUUCAAGCUAGUGAGUUGGUUGAACCAUACCGAGUUGCUCCGUCGAUUGACUUAUAAGAAAAUUCAAAUUUUCAUGUUUUCAACGAUAGUCUUGUUGAUGUUGACGCAGAGGAGUUGAAUGUUGUUCUGAGCUCUACUAGUGGAAAAAAGAACUUUAUUGAAGAAGAUGAUAACGAAAUUGAAGAGUGCGAUGAAGCUGAUGAUAACAAUUCAAUAGAGGACGAAGAUGAAAAUUCCGACUAACUAAACAUGUUCUAAAGCCUUAUUUUAUAAUGUAAUAAUUUGAAACAUGAAAUAUUUAUUCUUCUUUAAUGGUUAGCCCUUGUUAUUGUGUUGUGUGUGCUGUAAGAUUUCAAUUCAAGAUUUUGUGACAGGGUUACAUAAAAAAAUAUGAAAAAUUUAAGGUUUCACCGACGAGUACACCGACGGACUAUAACCUGUCGGUAUUUCACAGAGAGUUGAAAAACAUUUACGGGAUUGUGCCACUUUCACCGACAGUGUCACCGACAGACCAUACCCGUCGGUAUUUCAUAGAGUGUUGCAAAAAAAUUUACGGGAUUGUGCCAUAAUCACCGAUGGGUACACCGAGGGCAUUUCUGACGGACAAUACCGACAGAAUCACCGACGGAUUUACGCACAUCCCGAAGCCCACGCAUGUCAGACACGUGUCCGUCUGCACAAAUACCGAUGGAUUGACCGACGUCAAAUACCGACUAAUUUACGCACAUCCCGAAGCGCACGCAAGUCAGACACGUGUCCGUCUGCAUGAAUACCGACAGAUCGAAAUGUCUGGCGGGAUUUUUGAACUUUUUUGGUGCGUAUUUCAAUUAAUUUUCAUCGGUAUUACCGACGGAAUUUAAUGCCACCGACAAUAAUUAAUUUCCGUCGGUAAUACCGUCGGAAACAUUGCUAUAUAAACCCCCCCUCCCCCCAUUUGGUUCAUUUUCUUCUCUGCUUCCGUUUCUCUUCUUCUCCAUUUCUCUUCUCCUCUCAGUUUAUAUUUGGCUUUUGGAAGGGAUUUUAUUGUUUUGGUGGUAGUUUUAAAAGGUAUGUAUUCUUUUUUCUUUAUCUUUGUAUUUUUUUUAUUUUAAUUAUGAUUAUUGUUUUUGGUGUUCUUUGUUUUGUGUAUUGUUUGUAGAUAAAAUCUUAAAUUCAACACACUAUUAAUGUAAGCAUUUUUUAUUCCCAAAUUUAUUUUGAAUUGAUAUAGUGUUUUUUAGUUUUAUGUAUUGUUUGUUUUGUGUUUAUGUUAAAAAUGUUAAUUUAUAUUUAUAGAAUUACAUUUAAUUAGUUUAUUUUAAUUUAGGAUAUUAUUGUUUGUAUUGCUAUAAUUGUUAUUGUUGAAUUUAUGUUAAAAUGUUAAUUUAUAUAUAUAGAAUUACAUUUAAUUAGUUUAUUUUAAUUUAGGAUAUUAUUGUUUGUAUUGUUGUAAUUGUUAUUGUUGAAUUUAUGUUAAAAUUGUUAAUUUAUAAAUAUAGAAUUACAUUUAAUUAGUUUAUCUUAAUUUAGGAUAUUAUUGUUUGUAUUGCUAAAAUUGUUAUUGUUGAAUUUAUGUUAAAAUUAUUAAUUUAUAUAUAUAGAGUCUUGUCUCCUAAAACUUGAAAUGUAAUAUUAAUCUGUAAAUUUGAAUGUAUGACUUUAAUCUAAUGUUUAUCACUCUAAGUACCAAUUUAACAAUGAAUGUUCAUAGUUGAAAUUGAUUAUUUUACUUGAAUAUCAUUAUAUGAUGUUAUUGAAUAAGAUGUUUUGUGUUGAUGAUGAUGAGUUGGGUUGAGAUCCAGGAUGAUAUUGGAUCGGGAUGUGAAAUAAAAUUGGAAGUGUAAUAUGAUUUUGUCAAUAACUUGGGACCCCCCAGUAUAGGGGAGACUCUGGCGAAUUUUUUUAAAAUAAUCAAAGUUAAUUAUGUAAUUAUUCGUAUAAAUUUAUGUAGAUGCGUAGAAUGAAAUCUACAGCACGUCGUCAGAAGACAGUUGCAGCUAGUUCUUCUAGCAGUGAGGAGGACGUAUCUUUAGGUGCUGAUCACGGCGAGGAAUCUACGCCAACUUGUGAUGCUGCCUCUUCUAGCGCGGUUUCACAGCGUAGAAGCGAUGUGCCUUCACAACGGGGUCAAUUCACCCGCAAGUACCAGGCACAAUGGAAGGAUGACCUCUCAAUGUAAGUUUGUUUAGGUUUUAGUUUUUUUUAUAUAUAUACUUAUAACAUAAUUUAUGAACAACUAAUUAAUAUUAAUACUUUUAUUUAAUUUCAGGUUCACAAACAUUGAGGCUGCAAGGACUAUAACAUUGACGUUUAAAUCAUUGAUGGAGAUUCCAUUGUUUCAAUGGAGCCAGGUUUCCAGACAUCCUGAGUGGAAACCUAAUAUCGAUGCAUGGUUUAAGCGAUUUCAUGUCGGUGUUAAUUUUUAAUUUCCAGCUUAUUUUUAAUAAAUGAUUUUUAUAAUUUUAUAUCUUGUACUAUUUUUAUUUUAUAUGAAUUAUUUAUAUACACAGAACAAAUUUGAGUGGGAUAGGGUGAACAACAAUGUUGUGAGGAUGGUAUGGGAGAAUCACGCGGUAACUAGGUAAAAUCAAAAAUAAUAUUUAUUUUUGUUUUAUAAUUUUAUGUUUUAAAUUCUAAUUUGUUACUAUGAAAGUAGGUUGCGUGAUUUUUGGUAUGACACCCAAAAAAAAUCAAAAAGACAUGCGAGGGAUAAUGAUCUUGAAGGAUGGAAUGAGGUGGCAAUUUGGCAGGAAUUCAAACCGCCAUUCAUCUCGGGGGAAAUAUGGACGGCAUAUAUUGAGUACGUGACCUUAGAGCGGUUUUCACGACGCUCACAGUCCGGCGCCGACAACCAGAACCGGCAAAUUCAUGGUUCGGUGACCACGCAUACUGAUGAAUCCGUCCCAUUCAGCGCACAUGCAAAGCGGAUGGUAAAAUUAAUUUUAAUGAAAUAUAUCGUUAAUUAAUUUGUCAUUCCUUAUAAUAUAUUUAACUUUCAACCUAUUUUUUCCUUACAGGCUGCGUCUCUUGGACGUGAGCCGAGUCCAAUGGAGCUGUUUGUAGAGACGCAUGUGCGGAGUCAAUACCGCCAAAAGAGGGUGCAGCAGUUCGUGGACAACCGUGCUCAGCACUUUGUGGUAUGUUCGUUCAUUCAUUUUAUUUUGUAAGUUAUUAUUUUCUUGAAUUGCAUCUUGAAUUGCAUUUGAUGAUUUUUUUUAAAAUUUUCAAGAGACCUAUAAUAGCCGGUUGCGGGAGAGAUAUGGGGACAAUCCUUCGACCCAUCCAGAUUUCGAUCCAGAUUUGUGGAUGGAGGUGGGAUCGUCUGGUGGACCCGAUAAAAAUCGGGUCUACGGGCUCUCCAACACUACGACUGAAAACUUGUGUUCGGCUCGUAGUGUCUCAACCGUUGGGAGCUCUCCAUCAGUAUCGAGCACCCAGUCUGAGGAGUUCAUUGCCUUGAAACAACAAUAUCAACAACUCUCGAUGAAUUAUGAUGAGCUCCAUCAAAUAGUCAUGGAGAUGAGAUCAAAGAUGGGUGAUGAUACUUGUGCAGGGCCUUUUUGGUCGUACGGUCCCGGGAACAACCAGCCUCCUCCUCCUCCAGCUCCGCCGCUAUUCUAGUUUAAUUUUGUUUUUUAAACACAUUAAAUUUAUAAUGAAUAUUUGGAUGAAUAUUAUUUAACAUUAUUUUUAUAUUUUUAAUGUUUAAUCCAAUUUUAUUUCUUUAUUAGAGUUUUCAUAUUAAUAAAUUAUUUAUAUAUAUAUAUUUUACAUAUAUGCCGACGGCUGUACCGACGAAUAAUAUCUGUCGGUGAUUCAUAGAGAGUUGCCAAACAAUUACCAGCCAUGCCAUAAUGACUGACGGACAUAUUCCGUCAGUGAUCACAAUCAGACGGAUUUACCGACGGAUAAUAUCCGUUGGUUUUUCACAGAGAGUUGCCACACAGUUACCACCGAUGCCAUAUUUACCGAUGGAUAAUCCGUCGGUAAUUACCGUUGGAGUUUCAGACGGAUUUAUUCCAUCGGUAAUGUUCCCGCGGGAAACUUUUUUUUUGGCGCGCACGUAUCCGUCUGUAAGACCGUCGGUGUUCCGUUGGUGGGCGGUUAUUUUUUUGUGACAGAAUUAACAACGCAAAGGGUAGUUACCGACGACUAUUAUACCGACGAACGUGUUCCGUCGGAGAGGCCUUCGGUCAUUAUUUCACCGACGGCAUUAAUUCCUGUUACCGACGGAAUAAGUCCGUCGGUAAAACUGUUUAAUGAUGUAGUGGGUAAUGUUCCGAUAUUUGCCCGUUGGAGGCUAAGCAUACUGACACAAUAUUUACAUGGUUCGACAAAACCGCCUACAUCCACGGGAGAGGUUCAUUUUAUUAGAGAUAGAGAAAGGAUACAAUAAAUACAUGGAGGAGGAGGAUUACAUCCACUAUACUCUACUCCCAGCUCUUACACACUGCUGUUGCAGCUGCUGCCAUUGCACAAGCUUGCAUUUUGCAGCUUUUCCAAGCUUACCAUUUUGAGAGUGUCUUCAACACAACAUUCCCCUUCGAGCGUAUCAAUCAUGCUCGGUCCGGAAUGAUUUUUCAAGCCUUACACCAAGGCUUACAACACCCCCUCAAAUGAAUAUUCCUAAGUGCGACAGUCAUUGAGUAUUUCAAUGUGAUCACAAGCUCACCACUCUUCCAAGAGUCUACUCAUCCAGGAGUUGCGCCUGCCCUCUGUUCCACCCUUGGAACCACGCCUUACUUCUCCGUGAGUCUCUCGCUCUUAGUCCUAAGAGUCCAGGUAGCUCUCCACCUUUAACCAUGUGGGCAGCCCAUUAAAGGUUGAUCCAUAUAUGUCUUUAUACUCUGAGUAUUACAAUGCCAUUACCGAGCUCACCACCUUGACAAGAGUCAACUUGUUCCCGGAACCUGCGCAUGCCCUCUGCUCCUUCAUAGCAGCCACGUCUUAAUGCUCCACAAGUCACCCACUUAUUGUCCAAGGCAAAUGUCUUCUAGCUCAUUAAUCUUUAGCAUGAGGGCAAUAUCCAUGAAAGUUAAUCCUGCAUUUGUCUUCAUACUCAUCAUAACCACUUCAUUGGCUAUACACCUGCCCACUCAUAUCUAGCCAUCAUAUUGGCUCUGGGGUGUUCUGAACUGGGCUCAUAUCAUGGCCUUCACACCUUCUCCUGAGGUGUCUCCGCUCGUCGUCAUGCGGCGGUCUGAACUAGGGCUCCUAUCACGGCCCUUACACACCUUCCAUCUAAGGUGUCUUCGCCUUUCAUAGGCGGUCGCAUCCUCCUUCAGCUGAGAUGCUUCAAAGUGGCUCCAAAAAUUCUCUACCACCAUGUGUACUAUGGGAGAUCACUGCCACUGAUUACAUAGAAAGAGAAAGUUGUGGUAUACUCCUUGCAAUCCUCCAUCUCGAUUUCUAUGUUUGGAGCUUCUGUGCCUUUCUGCUUGACAGCUCCACCUACACCAACUCUUUUUGGUGUCUUUACCUUUCAAUAUAGGCGGUCGCCUUAGUGGUGGGGUAUUGCCACAAAAUGGCAAUAUCCUAACACCGUCUCCCAGAUGUCAACCGGAAUAAAGAGUUUACUUCUAAUUUUCCAGUUAUACCACUUUUUCAUGAGGCCAGUCUCGACCAUUCAUGACCGUGAAGUGAUUAGUACUUAAAAGUGCAUUCUCAUUAACGCUUUAUAUCAUCGUAUUGCACUAAAGUAUCGUUAAAUUCCCUAAUUAAAGCAUGUUUUAUAAUAACAGGUAUGAUAAUAUAAUAUAUCUUUAAUUUAUGAUAAAUGCUUAUUUUGAAUGCAGGUAUAUCUCACAAUUUAAAAGAUUGAUUAAUGUGAUUAACUAUUAAAAGUGAAGAGACAAAAAGAGGACUAGGCUAAGAGAAGAGAUGUUGGUUCAAUUCCAAACUAGAACACCAUUCGGUUAUUUGAUCAUAACUGGAGUUGUAGAACUCGGAUUUAGGUCCACUUUAUAUGGAUGGAAAGAUAAGACAUAGACCUAAAACUUUCAUAAGAGUUCAAGACUCAAUUCUGCCGUUUUCAAGUUGAAAUCUUAGCAACAACGGAGAAGUCGGAACCUGUCCUGCAGCUCAAACACUGUUCGGUUUUCAGCUCAUAUCUUGAGUUCUAGAAGUCCAAAUGAGCUCUGGUUUUUUUUGUUGGAAAGCUGAGACAAUUGCCCACAGUUUUCAUGGAACAAAAGGCUCAAAUUCUGAUGUUAGCAAUAAUGUUUUGGUCAGCCAACAAUAUCAAAAAUCUGCCAACAAUAUCAAGAAACAGCAGCCAACAAUAUCAAAAAUCUGCCAACAAUAUCAAGAACCAGCAGCCAACAAUGUCAAAAACCAGCCACCAAAUCAAUGGUUUCCUACCAAUCAAUAGUUCUGAAUCUUAGCCUAUAAAAGGAGGCAUUUGCCAUGUAUUUAGUCAUAUUAUUUUUCAGAUCAAAAUCAUCUUCUUGCUUUCUCUCUUUAUAUCUUUGUAAUGUUCAAGUUUUCUUUCAUGCUAUAUUAAUCUCUUGUUUAUGCUUUUUCAUUUCCUUUCCUAUACUUAGUUAACUUAUAUCAUGUUUAUGUUCUUAUGUUGUUUAUUUAUGUUUUUCUUUUUCAUUAUGUUUAGCUAAGUUAAUUAUGUCAAGGUGAAAAGGUUUUACUAAUGGUGUUAGAAUAGGUAUAAUAUAAACUCAACAUGGACUUUAAUGUUUAUAUCCAAGAAAGUUUGUUAUUAACUUGUUUUAUCUUUUUAUCUUACUAAUUCUUAAUACCUUGCUUGUUAAAUGGUUAAUCUAGAUUUGUGUUGUAUAACACUUGGUACAUCAAAUGCUUGAUCCUUCAUAGUUUUCGGUCGACAUCGUUAUUAUGAUAGGAACUUGAUUUGUUGUUAACAUAAGCUAGCAACAUGAAUGCCUGAUGAUAUUUAUAAGUAUGGUGUUACUUGAAUAGGAUAAUUAAUAUGAUCAUGUUAAUACUUUAUAAUGAGCCAUUAACGAUAAAUCAUCCGAUUGGAACCUCCUUUGUGUGUGGUUUCUAAUUGAGUAAUAAAAAAAGUUUAUAUUAUAUUUAUUUGAAAUACCAUUAGUGGAUCCUUUAACCUUGACAUCUGUUUUAUCCUUAUUUAAUCUUUUCAUCAUUAUUACAUCUCAAACUUCUCUUCAACAUCAAUAUCAUUUUAUUGUUUGUAAUUUAUAUAAUUCACCUCCCUGUGGUUCGACCCCGGUCUUGCCGGGUUAUUUAUUACUUUGACACUCCUGCACUUGGGAUAAGACAUCAACUCUUUGAUCGUGUCAUGAAGCCAAUGUCCGAUGUGAAGGAAAUACUAGUAUUUAAUUUUGAUGCUCUAUUUAUAGUUAGAUAAACAUCACCAAUCAGGACACCAGCAAAAGGCUGGUGAAGGGUUAAUCCUAUUUGUCUCCCGGUACAGUAUAACAGACGCCAUUUUCCUGGAAGCAACUCCAACCAGUUCUGCACAUUGAAGUAAAGCAGAAAUUUCAAUAUUGAGUAGCCUUUGAGAAUAACAAGGCCUCGAUCUCGAGCUCGUUGGAGAUGGAUGGUAAAAGCAUAAUCAAUCAAUAAAAUGUUUCAUGUUCUACCAGAAGGAAGAAUCCAAAGAAUAUUGGCUGAUGAAGAAGUACAACAGCUAAAGAACCAAAUAAGUUUCUAGCUUCUUUUUCUUUAUAUUGUGUCAAUGCAUUUAGCAGUUAGACCAUUUCACAUAAAGUGUUCGCGUAACGAAACGAGAGAGUAAAUGGAAAAGAACAAGUGACUAUAAAUUAGAAGCCUUUGAAAGUAAAGGUGAUGAUACAAGUUAUAAUAUAUUUGAGGCAACUAGACAUAGAUCCCAUAUGACUCUUUGGAGAGAGCAAAAGAAUUAAUGAAUCUAUAAAAGCUACGAACAAAGUAGAUAAUUGCUAACCUUUGGCCUUGAAUGAGCAUUCAGCAUCUCCAUCAAUUCGAUAAAAUAGGAAAGCCUAUUACGCUAUCACAUCAAAAUCACCAGUCAGUUUACAUUGUCAAUGUAAUGUCAUUGCGAGCUAUAAACCAACACCACGUAUAUAAUGAGUUUACAUGCAAACAUUUAGUAGUUCGAAUAGAAAUAGAAGCACACUAAGAUAUCUUUCAAAUAACAGGAAAUUAAUUUGUAACACUAAUUGUUCCAUCUCAUACUUGUGCUUCCCUAGAAAAAUAGGGUACUUUGUAAGUUCACAAAGACUCUGAUAAAUGAUCAAGAUGCAUGGUUGCGCUUCUCUAUGCUCAGAACAUGAAACUUUCAAAAUUUCCAGCUAAUCACUCAAGGCAAAAAUUAAUGGAUCCAUGAGUUCCCGCAGUACCAUUUUUGCCAUCAUAAAUCCUACACAUCUUUUCAACAUGGAUGAAACAGAAUUCAGUACAUCCCGCAGCACUACCUGGAUACACUUUUAGGUCUAUCAAUCUAUUCAUACCUCAUGUCAAAUGCAAUCAUCAUCUGCCGUCUGUCCAUGUUGUUGUCCAGUGUGCUACUAUUUGGACCAUCCUCGUAAAAGUCAGCAGCAUUCUCUAGUAUCCCUACCUGAAAAGUUAUAAUUUCAGAAGUUUCACAAAGUAAGACAUCAAUGCAAGAAAGAAACCACAUGUUACACAACUUAAUCAAUGAAGUAGUGCUUCAAAGCCUUUAGAUUAAAGCAUGGAGGAAAAAUAACUUUUUUUUGCUGUUAUCGACGAUUUCUACCUAUGAAUCACCCAUAUAGAUAUUAAUCAGAUAAGUUUUUGAAAGGAGUAACAAAAUGGCUCCCUCCUUUACCUCGUCGAUCUAGUUCAAAAAUGUUAUUUGAAGUGUCUAAUUUUACAGAGGAACAUAUUAGAAGUUCAUCUCAUAAUGACAAAAUUCCAGGCUUUGGUAUUAAACACAAUUGGGUGAAGAAAAGCAUUUUCUGCGAGCUUCCAUAUUGGCAUACAAAUUUGAUUCGUCAUAAUCUUGAUAUCAUGCACAUUGAAAAAAAUUUCUUUGAUAAUAUUUUUUAUACAGUAAUGGAUUGUCCUGAUAGAAGCAAGGACAAUGUAAAGGCUAGGUUGGAUAUUCAGUUGUAUUGUAAGAAGUCAAACUUACAUUUGCAACAUGAUGCAAGUGGUCGGGUUUACAAACCUAAAGGCACUUAUUAUCUCUUCAAGAAACAACAACAAGAAGUGUUGUCAUGGAUGAAAGAAUUGUCCUUUCCUUAUGGUUAUGCUUCAAACAUCUCAAGGUGUGUAAAAGAGGCACAAUGUAAGGUUUCAGGCAUGAAAAGUCAUGAUUGUCAUGUUUUUAUGCAAAGACUUCUUCCAAUUGCUUUUCGACCUUACUUGCCUAAGCCAUUGUGGGAGUCAUUAACUGAAUUGUUAGUAUUUUUUCGGGACAUUAGUGGUACAAGUUUAAAUGUCCAACACAUGGAGAUGUUGCAGAUGAAUAUCAUUGAAAUUAUUUGCAAACUUGAAAGGAUUUUUCCUCCAUCCUUCUUUGACUCUAUGAAACACUUGACAAUACAUUUACCUUAUAAGGCAAAAGUCGGAGAACCCAUUCAAUAUCGAUGGAUGUAUCCAUUUGAACGAUAUGUUUUCAUGUCAUAUUAUUUUUUAUUCUUUUCCAUUUUUUCUUAAACUAAUUUAUAUCAAUGAUAUAUGUAUAUGUUUUAUUUGAAGAAAAAAGUGACCAAUAAAGCUAAAGUUGAGGGUUCCAUAUGUGAAGCAUAUUUGAUUGAUGAAAUUACCAAUUUUGCAUCUUAGUAUUUUGGUGAUGACGUGCAAAUAAUAUGGAAUCGAGUUCCAAAGAAUGAUGACGGUGGCCUUAAAAGUCUUGAUGGACAACUUUCAAUUUUUUCUUACCCGGGGAAAAAAUUGUCCAGAAGAUCGUAUAAAAGACAAUUGUCACAUGCUCGAAUGAAAAUUGCACAUAACUAUAUUUGUUUCAACUGUGAAGAAUUGAAGCCCUAUUUAGAGUAAGUAUGAAAUAUUUUUUUAUACUUUAUUCUUAAUAAUUUAAUUUAAAAAAUAAAUUGUUUAUAAUUUAGACAAUGUCAUCAAGAGCUAAAGUCACAACAACCACAUACGAGCAAUGCUGAAAUAGAAACAUUAUGCGAGGAGAUAUUUCUAAUUUGGUUAAAAAAUAAUGAAGUAGUUUUAUAUAAUGAUUUUUUUAAUGCAAUUUUAUUCUUUUAAGAAAUUAUUUUAUUUUUGAAAAAAAAUAUUUAUUAUGGUGUUAAAUGUUAUGGUAGGUUGAAUAUCAAUCAAAUGGAAUUGGGAAUCAAAUCUUUGCACUUGCUAUGGACCCUUCAAAUUUAGUUAAAUGUUAUAAUGGGUAUUAUGUGAAUGGUUUCAAAUUUCACACUCAAAGUUAUGGUCGAUUUAAAAAGACGAUGAAUAGCAGGGUUUGUGUGAAAGGAAGUUGUUAUGAUGACAAUGAAUGUGACUAUUAUGGAAUGCUUGAAAAAGUUGUUCAGCUAAAAUAUUUGGGGAGUAAGUGCAAAGUAUUCAUGUUUAAAUGCCAUUGGUAUGAUACAAGAAGAGGAAUUAUAAAGAAUCGUUCAAAUGGUUUGGUUGAAAUCAAGCAUACUUCUCGACUUAUAUGGAAAUGAAGAUUUUAUGCUAGCAUUACAAUGUCAACAAGUCUACUAUACAUGUCCACCUUAUAAUAAAUCUUCUGAAUGGUGGGAAAUAAUUAAGACAACUACUAGAAGUCGCUAUAAUGUUGACAUGGGUGAAUUUAUUGAAGAUGAUAACAAUAUGAGAUCAUUUGAUGUCACUCAAUCAGAUGACUCAACCAUGUCGUGUCCUUCCUACUCAAACACUUGAUGAUCCAAAUAUAGUUGUUGAAGCAUCAUAUUAUACAGAAAUCAACCAUUGUGAAUUGCUUCAGUUACAGGCAAAUUCGGUAGAAGUUGAAAGGGCUUCAGAUGAAGAAUUUGAUGAUGAUGUUAAUGGUGAUUACAAUGAUGAUGAUGUGGUUACGAGUGAUGAUAAUGAUGAGCAACAUGAUGAUGAUAUAUUGUAAAAUUUAUUUUUUAUUUAUUGUAUUUGGACUUAUUUUUAAGUGAUGUAAGUUAUAUUUGUAUUAAUGGUAUUAAUUAAAAAUAAUUAUUUUGUUCAUUUUUAUUUUCUUAUUGUAUUAAUUAGUUCAUAUUCAAUAAUUAAAAAUAAUGCAGUUAUAUUUAUUCUAUAAUUUUGUUCAUUAAUGUUAAUUUUUUAUUCUAUUUCAGGUAUCUAGCAUGCCUCGACGUGGUUCUAUAUUAGGUUCCCAGAGUAAUAAGACCACUUCAUCUAGAUCAAAUGGCCCUUCAUCUGGGCCGAAUAGCCAAGCAUCCAUUUCUCAUCAACCUAUUCAUCAUGAGUUGUAUGGUUGCUAUAAUCCUACUUGGAAUGCACAUCAUACUCGGCAAGAUUAUGGGCAGAGGGAUGAUUAUCAAUCGUACAAGGGUUUUCACUUUCAAGAUUUACUUCAAACUCAAGAAGGUUUCCCUCAAGAUCACCCAUAUACUUUUGGAGGAUAUAAUGUUGAUGGGGGUUAUUAUGAUUGGAGGGGCAAGGAUGUUAGGAGAGGUGAGAGAGUUGAAGAAGAUAGAGGAGAACAAUAUGAGAGAGUAGAUAGUGAUAAUGAUGAAGAUGAGGGAGAUGAUUGUAAUGUUAGAGAUUCAGAGGAUCGAGAUGGCAUCCCAUCAAUCCAUAGUUCAACAUCUUCUCCAUUGCAUCAUGAGCAACGGGUUCAAAAGAAAGGUUUUGACACAUAUAAGGAUCCAAUUACAAAAAAAAAAAAAAAACUUCAUUUAUAUGGAACAACAGAGUAAGUUAAAAUUUAUAAGGUUAUUGUGUUUUAUAAUUAUUUUUUAAGCUUUAUUAAUUUAAUGAAUCUUUGUUAUUUUUUUAAGCUUCAAUAACUCAUCAUGUGGGCAUGAGAUCGGACUUAUUUUGAGGUCAAAUUUUAAAGGACCAUGGUAUAAUUGGGAAAAAGUUGGUCCAACUUAUAGGGAUGAACUCUUUAAAGAGUUUAAGGUAUGAGAUUAUAUAUUUUUAUUUUAGACAUAGUUAUGUUGACUUAUUAAUUAAUAUUAUGAGACUUGAAUAUAUUAAUAAAUAUACGUAUUGAGAGAUUGUUUGAUGGAUGGAAUGUGAUCUAGGAUGAUUGGAUCAAGAUAGGAGUUGUAAUGACAUAUAAUAGAGGUGUUGUCGAUAACUUGGUAUCAAUAAAAAUAGAUGAGACUCUGCUGAAAUUUAAAAAAAAAAAUCCAUAAUUUUAGACAUAGUAUUCAAUACUUGACAUUAGUAUAGAAAUGUUUUAGAUUUCAUGAUAUUAUAUUUGAGGAUGUUACAUUCUUUUUUUCUAUGCACACCAUAUCUUAGAUGCGAGUAUUAUUUUUGUAAAAAAUAGUUUUUUUAUGGAAGUGAAGACCAAAAUGAAGUACGAACUUAUCUUAGAUGCAAGGAGUAUUAUUAUAGUAAAAAAUGCAAGGUUAGAACAUGUCAUGUUAUUAUGAUAUAAGACAAAUUAAUUCUAUUUUAGGAAUAUAUUAAGAAAUGGUAAGGUAUAUACAAAAGAAAUAUUAUAAUAAUUAGAAUAUAAGAAAUUAAAUUCUAUUUUAUGAUGUAGUUAAGAAGUUUUUAUUUUAUCAAUAAUUUUUGUUCAUCUUUUUUACUAUUGAUUGUGUGAUUGUAAUUAUAUAGGCUAGUUAACAGCUAUGUUGAGAUUUGUUUAUAUAUAUAUAUUUUCUGAGGAUGAUGAACCAAUUGUUCGUAAGAUUUAGGAAGAUAAGAGUAGAAUUGCUUUGAACCAACAGUUGACACGAGCUCGUAAAAGAGGUAUGUCUGAUAGAAAUACCACAAAUAUUAUAGAUUGCAUUAAUAAAGGUCCAAUUUGGAUACACAAUGACGUUUGGAAUCAAAUGAUUAAAGAAAUUUGGUCCACCAAAGAAUUUCAAAAGAGAUCAAAAUCUGCAAGAAAUAAUCGGCUAACUGAAACGAAUGGUAAAUUAAGCACUCAUCCUGGAGGUACGGUGUCAAUUGCAUCAUACUGAGCUAGCAUGGUGAGGAGUGUUUAUAUUUGUUAUAAUGGACUUAAAAUUUUUAUAUUUAUAUUUUCUAAUAUUUUUUGUUUGUUGAUAGCAAGAAAAAACAGAUGGAAAAGAACCUCUAUGGGAUUAUGUGUUUUCAGUGUUGCAUCAGAGUGCCAAGCAGCCUGAAACAUUCAUAGAUAACAAGUCUAAAAAAGUUGUUGUAAGUAUUUUUUUUAAUGCAAUUUAAUUAUUAUUUAAAAUUUAAAUGAAUUUAUUAUUAUAUUUAAUUUUAUUGUAGGAGAAUUACUAAAAGAGAUGAUUUCAAGAUAUGGAACUGAUCAGGAAAAUCAUCCUUCAUUUGAUAGAGCAGCUUGGUGUGUGGCUAUAAGAGGAGUUACAAAGGGUAGAGUAUAUGGUGCACCUGGUAUGCCGAAAUCCAUGGUUAUUACGAGUGCUUCAUCACAAUCCUAUACGAUGGAGUCAACACAUUUAAGCUCAUCAAUUCAGACAUUGAAAGAGUAAAUAAAGGAAAAAGAUGGUCAUAUUUUAUCAUUACAACUGGAGAUGACCUCAAUCAAAAAAUUUCUUAGUAAUAUGGGAUACCAAGCUUGGGCAUCAAAUAUGGACCAAGGUAUGUCGGCACCUAUGACUUCAUCUAUGCCGUCACAUGUGGCAGAUGACAACACAUAUGUAUCCCCUGUCUAAUCCAGUAUAUUGACCUAGGCCUUGACCACCAUAUACCGGUCCCACCUUAUGAUAGUCAGCAUUGUUUUGGUUUGUUUCCACCACCACCCCAAUCACCACCUUUAUGAUAGAACAUAUUUAUUAAAUUGUGACUUAUCUAUUUUGAUGUAAGUUUAACGAGAUUUAGAAAUUUAUUAUAAAAUUUAUUUUUAUUUGAGUUAUUAUUUUUUAUAAAAUAAUUUCUAGUAUUAAUUUAUGUUCUUUAUAUAUUUAUCUAUAAUUUUUGAAAUAUCCACAAAUAAUUAAAAAAUAUUCAAUAGAUGGGAAAAAUAAUUUAAAAAAUUCGGACAAAUCAGCAACGGAUCAACAACAAAGUUUCCAUUACUGAUCUGCAAAGGAUCAGCAACGCAAUAUCCGUUGCUGAUCAGCAAUGGUGAUUAACAAUGGAAUAUCCGUUGCUGAUUUAUACAAUCAGCAACCGAAUUUCAGCAACGGAUAAAUCAUUGCUGAACAAAUCAGCAACUGAUAAUCCGUUGUUAAAAAAUCAGCAUUUAUUAUUUGCAUCUAAUAUUAUCCAUUGCAGAUUUUUAUUAGCAAUAUAUUUUAGUUUUAUCUGCAAGUAACUAGUUAGUUGCUAAUAGGCUACUUUUUUAGCAGUGAACAUUCUCCAGCCUCAACUCUGUAUACGCAAGUCCAUGACUGUGCAAGUAUUUCACCUUAAGGAAGCAAAACAAACACCUUGAUAACCAUGGAAAGCCAGAAUUCAAAUCAAAUUCUAACAUCACCACUUAUGACUCCCAAUCAAAUAUGAUCUCUACCUAAAAUAGACCUCCAGUUGUUCCAGCUGUAUAUCUCACCAUGAUUCUCUCUUAAUUGUAAUCGUUGUGAAUUCCUUUAGUUUAGCCAAAUAUAUUUCUGUCAUAAUUAUCAAUCCCUACAAUUGAGGGAAUGCUAUGUAAUCUUUAUCAAUAUAUAUACUUCACGAGAAUCACCACAGGGUGUGAUCUGAAACCCAAUACACUUGUUAUCUAUAUUCUCCUUCAUGGUAUCAAAGCCAUACGUCUAACAACUAUACACAUAUUUUUUUCUUUAUCUCUCCAUGGAAGCCAUCAAUUCCUCUGCUGGUGUUGUAGUUCCCAGCCAUUCCGGGUUCAUGUCUAUCAAACUUGACAGAACCAACUAUCCAUUAUGGCUUGCUCAAAUUGUUCCGAUUCUAAAAAGCAAAAAUUUGAUGGGAUUGUCACAGGUACAAAUCCUUGCCCGCCAGAAUUCAAAUCAAAUAUUGACGACACCGUAACAGCUGAAGUGGAUCCUAGGUACACUACCUGGCAUCAACAGGACCAGAUGAUUCUUAGUUGGAUCAACAACUCUCUUUCUCCAACUGUACUGUCUACAGUGGCUCGAUUCAUAUCAUCAUAAGCUACAUGGUCCUCACUUGAGAAGAGAUAUGCUUCUCAGUCGAAAAAUCGAAUUUUGCAGCUCUGAUAUGACUUACUCACUGUGAAAGGGGAAGGUCUUCCCAUCUCAGAUUUUAUGGACAAGAUAAAUCAGAUUGCUGAUAAUCUUGCCUUAGCAGGAAAACCAGUUGACAAUGAUGAACUUGUCAACAUAAUACUGAACAAUGUCAGCCCGGCAUAUGAAGUUACAGUCAGCUCUACAUAAGCCCGUGACACUUCUAUAUCCUAUGAUGAUCUUAUUGCCUUAUUGCUUAAUGUAGAGAUGAGGCUCAAGGCGCAACAAACACCAUCUCUUAAGACAAGUCCCAUUGCCAUGUACACACCUAAAGCUACAUAAAGCAACAACCGUGAUCGUAAUUCUGUGCACCACCAUGGAUCCAAUAUGCGAGGCAGGGGACCAUCUGGUUUCCGUCGGUAUCAAAAUUGGUCCCAACCACAAUCAGGUUCAGUGUCUUUUGGUAACUCUGGUCCUAUGCCUUCACGUCCUCCAUGUCAAAUUUGUAAUCACAGUGGGCAUAGUGCCCUUGAUUGCUAUCAACGCAUGAACCAUGCGUAUGAAAGCAGGAUCCCAACUCAGAAACUUAUGGCUAUGGCUGCUAUUGCCUCUUCUAACAUUCCUUCAUCUACAUGGAUUUCAGAUUCUGGUGCCUCAAACCAUAUUACUUCUGAUCUUACAAAUUUAGCCAUUCACAAUGAAUAUCAGAGAAAAGAUCAUGUUGUUGUGGGUAAUGGUGCAGGUUUGACUAUUGCUCAUACUGGCUCUAGUAAAUUCACUUGUGGUUCCUCAACCUUUGCUUCGAAAAAUAUUUUGCAUUGUCCUUCCAUUGCUGCUAAUCUUUUGUCAAUAUAUCAAUUCACACGGGAUAAUAACUAUUACUUUGUUUUUUAUUCUGAUUGUUUCUAUAUGAAGGAUGUAAAAACGGGGAAGACGCUUUUCCGUGGGAAGAGUGAACAUGGUCUCUAUCCCUUUCGCAUUCAUACUCAAAUCUCUACAAAAUCAGGUCGUCCCUUUGCAUUGGUUGGUGUUCGUGUUAGCGUCCCAAUUUGGCAUUCUCGGUUGGGUCAUCCUGCUAAUAACACUUUGUCACAUCUUAUUUCAAAUAAAUGUCUUCUCAUGCAUGGUAAUAAUUCUCUUCCAUUUUGUAAUUCAUGUCCUUUGGGUAAAAGUACUAAGUUACCUUUUCAAUUGUCGGAUUCCAUAUCAAAAUUCCUUUUGGAAUUAAUUCACUCAGAUGUUUGGACUUCUCCUAUUACUUCAAUCAAAGGAUCAAAAUAUUAUGUUUUAUUUGUGGAUGAUUUUUCACGAUACUCAUGGAUCUUUCCAAUGCAAUAUAAACAUGAAGUGUUUGAUAUCUUCCUCAAAUUUAAACUACAUGUUGAAAAUCUCUUUUCAUCCAAAAUAAAAAUGUUUCAAUCUGAUGGUGGGAGUGAAUAUACAAACAGAAAGUUUCAAAACUAUUUGGCUCAUAAUGGUAUUGGAUUCCGCUCCUCUUGUCCAGGUCAUCCCGAACAAAAUGGGGUCGCAGAAAGAAAACAUUGUCACAUUGUUGACACUGGGCUCACACUUCUUGCCCAUGCUCAUAUGUCAUCAAAUUAUUGGGUAGAUGCAUUUCAAACUGCAUUAUACUUAAUAAAUCGUCUGCCAACUCGUGUUUUACAGUAUCUCAGUCCAUAUGAAAAAUUAUUUCACAAAUCUCCCUCAUAUGAUACUUUUCGUGUUUUUGGAUGUGCAUGUUUUCCUUAUUUACGACCUUACAAUACAAAUAAAUUACAAUUUCAUUCCAAGCGAUGUGUUUUUUUAGGGUACUCUCUUAACCAUCAAGGAUACCGCUGUCUUGAUCAAAGUACAUGUCGUAUUUAUUUGUCCCGUCAUGUUAUUUUUGAUGAGUUAUCAUUUCCAUUCCAAGAGACCACUAACACUCUUUAUGCAGAGACGACUUCACUAGAUUUCAUUCACCACUAGAGAUAGUUACUGAACCUUUGCCCCAUAUACCAUCAGCUUCUAUUGGCUCUCCAGACCCACCUACACAAAACCCACCCAAUGUUCCUCUUACAUCCAUCACACCAAGCACAAAUAUCCUCAUCACUCAUUUUAUCAUUACAGAACCUACCCAACCAAACACUACUCCAAUUCCCAAUCCUAUCAUUACUGAAACUUCUUCCCCAACCACUAAUCCCCACCUUAUGGUUACUAGGAGUCGAGCUGGAGUCUCUAAACCUAAUCCAAAGUAUGCAUUGACUGUCACUUAUGAUCCCACUCUUCUAGAACCCACAUGUUAUACUCAAGCUGUAAAAUCUGAGGAAUGGCGUAAAACAAUGGGUGCUGAGUUUAAUGCUUUGCAACAAAGCGGUACUUGGUCAUUGGUACAACCUACUUCGAAUAUGAAUAUUCUACCUAACAAAUGGGUGUUCAAAAUUAAAAAGCGUUCGGAUGGCACUAUUGAACGCUACAAGGCCCGCCUAGUGGCCAAUGGAUUUCACCAACAAGAGGGCAUUGAUUAUACAGAAACUUUUAGUCUGGUUGUGAAGCAUUCCACUAUUCGCAUUAUACUUGCUUUAGCAGUCAAUCACAAAUGGCCAAUUCGAUAAUUGGAUAUUCAAAAUGCGUUUCUACAUGGGAUCUUAUCAGAGGAAGUUUAUAUGAGACAACCUUCGGGCUUCAUUGAUCCAAACUAUCCUAAUCAUGUUUGCAAACUUCAUAAGUCACUUUAUGGUUUAAAACAAGCACCACGUCAAUGGUUUACAAGAUUUUAUGAUUAUUUAGAGGAACUUGGGUUCUGUGAGUCCAAAGCAGAUUAUUCUCUAUUCACAUUUCAUAAGGGUGAUUUGCUCAUUAUUCUGCUUAUAUAUGUUGAUGACAUUUUAAUUAGAGGCACUAGCUCUUCUUAUAUUUUUAGUCUUAUUCAGAAACUAGGCAGAUUGUUCUCUAUGAAAGAUUUGGGACCACCCCACUAUUUCUUUGGUCUAGAGGCGGUAUACAGCACAACUGGCUUGCAUCUCACUCAAACCAAAUACACUAUGGAUUUAUUGUUUCGCACAAAGUUUCAGGAUGUCAAGCCAAUCUCUUCUCCUGCUAAUGCUGGUAAGAAACUCAGUCUCUAUGAUGGAGACCCUCUUUCGGAUCACAGAAUUUCGAAGUGUUGUUGGCGCCCUACAAUACUUGACACUGACUCGUCCAGAUAUAUGCUUUGCUGUUAAUCAAGUGUGUCAAUUUCUACAUCAACCAACAACACAUCAUUGGACUGUUGUGAAACAUAUACUGUGUUAUUUAAAGGACACUCCCGACCAUGGGCUCUUAUACCAACCCGGCUCUUUAAUGUUGGAAGCUUACUCUGAUGCAGAUUAUGCAUGUUGCCCAGAUGAUCGUCACUCUACAGGUGGCUAUUGUGUUUAUCUUGGUCAUAAUCCCAUCUCUUGGAGUGCCAAAAAGCAGUGUACUGUAUCAAGAUCAAGCACUGAAGCUGAAUACCGUCAACUAGCCUACACUGCAGCUGAACUCUCAUGGAUUAGAUCCUUAUUUAAAGACUUGGGAGUACGUCUUUCAACUCCUCACAUUUGGUGUGACAAUAUCAACUCCAUAUCAUUGGCAUCAAACCCGGUCUUCCAUGCUAGAACCAAACAUUUAAAAGUGGACUAUCAUUAUGUCCGUGACAAAGUGGUACGUAAGGAACUCGAGGUCUGCUAUAUCUCCAAUACAGAUCAAGUCGUCGACAUCUUUACUAAAGGUCUCUCAAAGUCUCGGUUCCUUCUAUUAACAAACAAGCUUAUGGUUCGUGCACGACCCAUCAGCUUGCAGGGGUGUGAUAACCAUGGAAAGCCAGAAUUCAAAUCAAAUUCAAACACCACCACUUAUGACUCCCAAUCAGAUAUGAUCUCUACCUAAAAUAGACCUCCAGUUGUUCCAGCUGUAUAUCUCACCAUGAUUCUCUCUUAAUUGUUACCGUUGUGAAUUCUUUUAGUUUAGCCAAAUAUAUUUCUGUCAUAAUUAUCAAUCCCUACAAUUGAGGGAAUGCUAUGUAAUGUUUAUCAAUAUAUAUACUUCACGAGAAUCACCACAGGUAUGAUCUGAAACUGUAUUGUUAUCUAUAUUCUCCUUCACACCUUACACUUUAGUUGUGCACAACACAUGGCAACUAUUUGUGCACAGAUAAUACAAUUAAUAUAUAAGUACUCCAAUCAAGAAAUCCCUCGUCAAUAUGCGUGUUAUUCGCAACUGCCGAGAGACAGCAGGUCCUCCAACCGUGUCAUCUCCCACCCUCCUGACAGAUUCCUCAUCCAAUGCCAGAGUUCAAUCUGAUUGUCGAAGCCAAUGUCUCAAAGAAAAACUACCAUGAUACUGCCAUAAAAUAAAAGGGAAGAAAUAAACUUUCAAAUCCCUAAACUCACAAAUGGAGAAAUUGAAAUAUGAGAAGAACUCUGCUUUGAAAGUUUGGUACCUCUUCAACAACAUUGAAUAAUGGGAAAUUUUGGUGGUUCUAGACUUAUGGUCGAGGAAAGGUUUAUUAGCACAAAUACUGGGGAACGAAACAAGACAUGAAUAAAUCAGCACCCUGAAUUAGUGCACCUCCCACACAUGGGUACAACUAGCCCAGUGGAUAGGCAUAUUAAAGUAAAUGCAAGCUUUCCCCCGUUUUAUGCUGUUUUUGAGUUUUAUAUUCUGCUUCCACGCGCAACAUGCAGAGAUAUGAAGGCUCGUCCAGUAAACAGAAAACCUCCAACAGGGGUCUUGUAGAAAGACUACACUGCCUAGCAUAAACAACUAAAUGGAUUCACACAACGAAACAUUUAAUGCAUCAGCAAUAUAAAAAUCUUACACAGAAAGAGAACAUACCCCAUGUGAAGGGCGGAGCCUUGUAGAAAACUUAGGUGUGCUGUAGCUCAGGUAACAAAAUUAAUUAUAAAAAAUCUAAUAACUCACUUUACUUUCUCCUUGUCUUUCACGGAAAACCUAACAUAAAUAAUUAGUUGGUUGUUUUCCUUUUGUCUCUUACGGAAAACCUUUGGUUGUUUUCCUUUCGUGUCUCUUACCGACAACCAAAGUCUUUUGUAAAAAACCUGAACACGGAUAAUUAAUUGGUGUAUAAAUCAGAUUCACCUACUUGGAAAGUAAACUCCAGAACAAAGCCCCAAACCUGUAUUGCUCGCAUUCCUCUACGUUUUGCUUGGGUACUGACAAGUUUCCUUAGCACAACUUUAAUGUUAUGCGAAGGGCUGCAAUUUCACAUUGUCCCGCAAGAUAUCACAACAGUCUUAAAAAACAUUUAAUGAAAAGAAUAAAUUUUUAAUAUUUUAUUUUUAAAUUGGGAAAGGUGUCUUGUUUAAGAAUAUCACCUCCUCCUACUACUACUACUACUAUUAUUAUUAUUAUUAUUAUUAUUAUUAUUAACCCUAACUAGUCAGCAGAGAUUUUAUGGUGCGAAACUGGUUGUGUAAAAAAAAAGAUAUUAUUACUCCUUAAGCGUUAUAUCUGAAGUAAGUUGUAUUGCUAGUUUUGUCUUAAAUUGUUAAGAUUUUAUAUUAUGAUGGUCUACUUGUAAUAUUCUUAACUUUGACAUCAGUGAAUAUUUAACUACGGAUACUUUCAAUUCUGACAUUGGUAAAUAUUACGUAGUAAAAAACAUAUGGUAUUCACGAUAAGAUUGUCACAGCCACAUGUACUUGGGUUCAAUAAUUUGUUGAGUUCAAGGAUAUUGGGUCUGAUAAUUUGCCAAAACCAUAAAUAUUUAGGAUUAGCACUUAGUUGAGCUCAAGGAUGCGGGGUUUAAUAGUUCGCUAGACUCAUGUAUGCUUGGGCUCAACACUUGACUGAGCCUAAGAAUAUUGGGUGUGGUAGCUCGCCAAAUUAACCUACGCAUGCUUGGGCUCAAUUCUUGGCUGAGUCCAAGGAUGUUGGGUAUGGUAACUCGUCAGACUCAUUUAUACUUAGGCUCGGAAAGAUGCUGAAUCUAGUAACUCGUCAGAUUCAUAUAUAUAUAUAUAUACUUGAGUUCAACACUUGGUUGAAUAAAAAAAAUACUAGAUGUAGUAGUUUGCUAGACCUAAUAUGUAUUUAGACUCAAUACUUAACUAAUACUUAACUAUGUUUAAUGAUAUUGAGUUAUCAUUCUAUCUUUAUUUUUUUAUUUUGAACAUGAUUUUAGGUAAAUAACACAUUGAUAUGAUUGUCACAUAAACUUAGUAAAAUCAAAUCAUUUUAUGUAAUUUAAUUACAUAAACAACAACAUUUCACUUGCUUUUCUAUAUAAAAAGCAAAAAUUAGCGAUCCAGUUAGCAUCUAUUAGUACGAGAAAUGACAAUCAAUCUAAUUUUUUAUCAUUAAACUAAGUACUAGUUAUGCGUUUCAAAGCUAAAGAUAAUGUGUAUUAAAGAAAAAUAAUGAUAUACUUUACGGUUUAAAAAAUAUAUUUUUAUUGCAGUUUUAAAAUGAAAAUUAUAAUAUAUAUAUAUAUAAUUAAAAUUACUGGAAGAUAAAUUUUUACAUGUAAAAUAAAUAAAAAAAUUAUUCUAACUUCUAUAAAAUUAAAAUUUAAAACAUAAUUAUAUAUAGGCACUAGUAUAAAAUAAAAAUUAUUUACCUAAUCAAAUAAUUCUCUUUAUAACUAUAAUUAGACAAAAAACAAAGCGCAAUGUAUCUUCAAUACUCAAUACAUUGUCAAGAGAAACCUUAUUAAUUUGUUUGUUUUUAUUUUUUAAAAGUAUUUAAAAAAAAUUAAAAAAAUUUUAUAUUUUUUUAUUUAAAAUUAAUAUUUUUUUGAUAUUUUUAAAUUAUUUUGAUGUCCUAAUAUAAAAAAUAAUUUUUAAAAAAUAAAAAAAUAUUAUUUUAAUAAAAAGUAACUACUAUACUUAGAAAUACUUUAUGGAAUAAAUUGCUUAACUGAUUUGGGGUUAAAAUUCCAUGUUUUAUUAGUUUUUUUUAUUUAUUUAAUGGUCACAUCAAUUCAGAGUCUUGUUAUUUUUUUCAAUACAAGCUUUUUGCUUUUUGUCCUUGCCAUCAACCGAGAUCGCACGUUUAUCGCGCGAAUGAUAACACUACGUAAGCUUUCUACGUAGCGAUUCGCGCGAAUGAUAACACUACGUAAGCACUACGUAAGCUUUCUACGUAGCGAUUCGCGCGAAUGAUAACACUACGUAAGCUUUCUACGUAGCGACUCGCGCGAAUGAUAACACCAGGUAAGCUUUCUACGUAGCGACUCGCGCGAUAGGAUAAAUCAUGUUUGCUUUCUAAGGACCCACCUCUACUUUAAAUUUAAAGUAGAGGUGGGUCCGGGUAGUUCCUUAUAAAUAAGUAAAUGGAAAGUUCCCAGUUCUCCCAACCAAGAAAAAACCCAUUUCAUUUGCUUUGCUUUUGCUUGUCCUAGAAAAUGGCAGCGUUCUCCAAGAUCCUCAGAGAGACUGAUACUAAGAAGAGGCUGUCAGUUCCUAUCAGGUUUCUCAGGUCUCUUCCACCUUUCAAACUAGGCAGCCAUGCCGUCACGUUUGAAGCUACAGACGAGAAAGGCGAAGCUUGGCCCUUUCAAUGCUCCAUCCGCAAGAGAGGACACCCGAAGCCAGUCCUCACAAAAGGUUGGGUUGCGUUCGUUAAGAGCAAGAAGCUACAAGUUGGUGACAAGGUCAGGUUUAUUAAACGUAAGAACCGAGCUACUGCAGCAAUCUCUUACAUAGUUCGUGCUGAAAAGGCAAUCAAGAUCUUUGGUGUUACAUUUGGCUAUGCCCGGAUUGAUCUAGUCCAUUUCCCUAAUUAAUAGCUCUGUAAGUCAAGCUAGCAAAUAAUAGUGCCGGUUUCAUGCACUGGCUUGCAUGGCUCUUAAUCGAGUCCCUUUCUGUUCUUUUGCAUUUUACUUCUCCUCAGUCGUAAUUCUAGUCUACUAAGUUACCUCGGUGACUUGAAUAUUCUCAUGCACCAGACAGGAAACACCAAGGUUGUUAUUAAUGGUUGGCUUGUUAACUAUAUCCAGUAGGGAAUGAAAUGGAGCCAUGUUUCCCGCUUAGGGGACAUGUUAGAUUUCUAAGUUGGGUGAGUUUCAAGUUUCUUGAAUUCUCAUAUAUUUGUGCUGCUUCUGCAAUUAGUAUAAAUGUUUAACUUUCAAAAGCCAUCCCAUCUGCUAUGGUCUCUCAAGAUGUUCCUUUUGCACCUUUCUUUCAAGAAUAUGGAAUUACUGAUCUCUGAAUAACGCAAUAAGUAGCUCGCGAGGCCACUUCUCAUGCAAGGGUACGUACGUAGUAGCAGUAAUGUGGUAUAUGUGAUUGCGCUCUUGCAUAUGAAAUGUGAAUUAUUUUGCAUAUUCGGCAUCUUGACGAAAGAAAGUAACGAUGUUGGCUUAAAUCCGUUGCCUGAUUGCCUCUUUAAGAGGUAUUAUUUCUUGUUUAAAAUUAUGAUAUCAAAGUGGGUUUGAUCAUGAAAAUACACCUCUUGAAAUAGAGAGAUCAUAUAUAGCUAGCUAGGUUAUAAAUUACCUGAAUCCUCGACUUCCUAUCGACGUAGAAUAAUGAUAUAAUUAAUCAUAGAGUAUUAGUAAUGAGGAGGCUUGUUGGUUCAGUCAUGGAAUCCUCGACACAGAACUAAAAAAACGGCACUCGUACCGUUCAUUUCUUUUCUUUUUUGAUGUCGGCGCCAUGUGGUCAAGGUGAUGGUGAGAAUGGUGGGCGCACCAAAUCCACCCUCGGGCCCUACCACAUCCACAUGCAUAUAAAAUUUAUGACAUUAAUGUUCUUACAAAAAUUAGUUUUAUGAUUCUCAUGGCGAUGAUUUGAUACUUCACAUCUGGGUGUUGAGAUGCUGUUAGUUUUUCAUCCAUCACCGGGUAAUUUUUUCAUUAAAAUAAUGUUGCUUUUUAUUAUUAUUAUUAUUAUUAUUAUUGAUCCGAUUAGUUCCAACAGGUCACUACAAUUCCGAUCACAUUUAAAUGAUUUGUCCGUAACAAUAUCUUAUAAAAUUCAAUUAAAAGAGACCCAGCCCAAAUCUAUGUUUUGAAUUUUCCGAAUCAAUCAACAAAGCUAGGCAGAGUUUGACGGCUAUAAUCAUUCAUGACUAAAAUUCUAUUUAUUUUUGUUUUUUAAAAAUAUUUUUAAAAUAAUUUAAAUUUUUUUUAUUUUUUUAUUUGCUUCAAAUUAAUAUUAUUUUAGUAUUUUCAAAUUAUUUUGAUAUAUCAAUAUCAAAUAUGAUUUUUUAAAAAAAAAAUUUAUUUUAAUAUAUUUCUAAAAAACAAAUAUUUUAAAAAACAACUCCUACCCUCCCAAACCUCUAAAAAAAACCAUUAUCACAAGUGAAAUAAAUCUGAGAAGUGCGUGUUCGACUUGGUAAUAGCCAUAGCAUCAUUUUAGGUCGGUCGGAAUCUUAAGAAUGGUUCGUGGCUGCAAAAUUGAUUGAGCAUGAGCGUACCAAAGCAGAAGCUGUUCCCCUGCUGAUGGUUUUAUAGUCUGUUUGGUAUCAUCUUGACUACCUCUGGCUGUCUUCUUAUUAAUUAAGGUUUGGCCAAAUUAAGGGUAGACAAGCCACUCAGACAACAGGCCGCACUGCAUUUGGAAAAGGUUGAUCUUCUUCAAUUAAUCGACUUUACAAAUUACACGAGCAAGAACAAAAUAGCUAAAUACACUCCCGACAGAAAUUUCUAUCUACAGUUGUGCGCAAUUGCUAUCUACAGGUUUCAUCAACACAUAGAUCUUGUAAAUAAGAGAGCUGAUCCAUUGACCCCGCGCAGGACUAGCAGUCUGGAAUCCACAUAUGUUCCACAGACGAGCCUAGACAAAUCAAACAUCUCAGGUGGCACUUGCACACGAAUUUCUUGAACUAU
rnacentral:lncRNA from 1 species